UCCUAAUCUAGAUAUUGGGCCCUUGGCCCAUAACCUAUCCUAGUCUAAUUUUUGAACCUUUGGCUUGAGUUUCACUUUACCUGUAUUAAAUACAACUUUGACUUCGAGGUCCAAAUAAAUAAAUAAAUAAAUAAAUAAAUAAAUAAAGACAACAAUAAGUAAAUAAAUAAAAUAACAAAUGAAACUUUUGAGUCUCUGAGCUACUUUGCCAAAGGGUUCCAACCCAUUUUCGUUUUCUUCUAUCUUCUUGUAUCCAUGUGCUACGCAAUUGACUCGAAAUUAAUUUGACAGAAAUGGUGGGCCCCAAUGGCCCAUGAUGAAAUGUGAAGAGAGAUCAAAUCCAUUUUUUUGGACUCGAGGCAAGUGGUACAUGUAAAUAAGGGUAAGGACUAGAACCUGAUAAAAGAGAACCUGAUGCUACUAAUGUUGAAGGAAAUAGAAAAUAAUCUAAAAUGCUCCACAAAACAAGACAUCUCAAAGAAAACACAAGAAAUAAAUUCUUUUAUCUUACCCUUUUGAAAAGUUAAAAUUGAACUUCUUUUAGAGAGAAACUUGACUUCACAUAAAAGUAUAUUUAGGAGUAAACUUAUCACGAUCUUCAAUCACAAAUAAGUUAAUUCUAUGAUAGGAAUAGGCAUGUUUAAAUAAAUCAAACCAACCUAAUCGAAACACAACAAUUCACACAAGAAACAUAGUCUAUUCUGCUAUGCACAAAAUAGAUGAGGCAGUCAAAACUACUCCUUACAAACUGCAACACAUAGGAUCCUACGUGUAGAAUAGGUGCAGCGAGGAAAAGAGAGCAGACCGAAACCCGUAAAUCAUCAUUUAGCAAAGAGUAAAUCAAUCAAAAUUCUACACUAUCCUAAACGAGAUCAUUAAGAGAAUGCAAUGGCAGACUUAAUCCAACACAGCUCAAUCGUUUCCCAUUAUCAGGUCCAUUACUUUGGAACACGGCCACCAAGAACAACUUAAGACAGCCGAAACAUAAACAUAAAUUCACAUAUUUUCAUAUAUAAAAACACUCAUACAGAAAAGGUUUGUGGAUUUAGAGAGAAAAGAAAGCAUUGACAUGUCGAAGGACGAAUAAAGUCGUCUACAAUGAAAACCAUUCCACAAAGCCUCAACCUUUGGAAAAAGGAAAUUGUUGUUUUGCAUCUAUACUCUAAAUAAAAAACAGAAUUAGAAUCGAACAGCUCCUUAAAACAGUCUCAGACAAACAGCGAUUGACGCAUUCAAAUAUGAAUUAUAACUAUCAAGCGACUAACGAAAUAGUCGAAACUAUGGCAAGUUUCGUGACACGCAAGUCCUAUGGCUUAUAAGCCUUCCUACAGUGGACAAACCCAGCACUAACAGUAUUGGAAAAUGUUUCAUGACUACAGCAGUGUGAGAUGAAGCAGAAUACAAUUGAAAUUUAAAUAGAAAUGGAAUGUUGCCUGUUCAAGAGCAGCAAAAUGGGGCAGCGAGUUAAUCAUCGGGAUAUUGAUCACCACCGAAGCUUCGUCGCUACUUCGAUGAUCCCGACAAACUCAACAAUAUCUAAAAUUUCACUAAAAUAGAGAAAUUUGUUCACUGAUUUUUGAUAAAUAAUUUUUUCUCUCCCUUUUCACCCUUUCGGACCUAGCUUUCUUCACUCCUCUUUAUCAGACCCAAAAUUUUUUAACCCAAAUUUUUCUUUUUCUUCCCCCCCUUUUUAACUCAAUCAAGAUCUGCUAAUAUAGAAGCAAGCUCGGGUUUCUCUUUCGUGACUUGAAUGAUGUGGGAAAAUUGAAGUUCGGGCUAAUUUAGGGAUUCCCCAUCGAGAUAUUUUCAAAAUUCAAACUGAAAAAUCCCCCUACAGCUUGGGUUUUCCUCUCCAAAUUGUACCGAUUCUUUUGGAUUUGUUAAGAGAAAUUGAGAAUAGGUGGACCAAGACCAUUUGGGCAAACUGAAUUCUCCUCUAAAUCAAUGAAAACCAUCCAAAUAUAUACAAAAUCUUACAAAUCAAUCCAAAAAUCAAGGCAUUUAAAUGUUGGGGAGACAACUCACCUAUUUCUAGAAGCUUCCUAAGCUUUUCUCGUACAGGUUCACGUGGGAUGCGCGUGAUGCAUGUGAGCAUCGGAUUGAGGUCAGGUUGAAGCUGGUCGGCUUGGAGAUGGUGAUUUUGGGUUACAUCUUUGAUGAUAUCAAUUGAGCGCUAGGUUGAUUUUGGGGAAACUGGGUUCGGUUGUUCGCAAUUUGGAAACCAGAAGCGUGUUUUUUUAUUUUUACCGAUCGAUGUUGUAGGCUGUUAUGUUGUUGUUGGUUAAAGAAGAAAUAGGAAUCUGGGUCGGGUCGGAAGGUUGUUAGGUUUGGGCAUGUUAGAGUGGGUCAUUGGUGAAAGGAAUAGAUUGGUGUGGCUGGUUAUUAUGUGUAAGGGAAAAUGGGCUAGUAAAAUUGUUAUUAUUUUUGGGAUGAUUUGGUUAUUUUAAUAUAUAUGGCUAAUUUAAUUCUAGCCAAAUUGAAUAUCAAUUGAUCAAUUGCAUUAUAAUUGGGGCCAAUUUGAUUUCAAUUAGAGUCAAAUUUAAUAAAUUGACUAAAUCAAAUUGAAAUUCGAUAUGAAUUAACACCUUGUUUAAUCCCAAGCUUCUUGAUUUAAUAAAAUCGACUAAAUAUUUUCUAAAUCAAUUAUUUUCAAUAAUAAAUUAUAUUUAAAUCAAGAUUUUAAUUAUUAUAAUUUAUUUUCAAGAUAAGCCUUGAUUAACAUUCGAUAUUUUGUAAAAUAAAUAUUUAAGUAACAAAAUUAUAAUAUCUCAUAUAAUUUAAUACGAGAAUAUAUAAUCGCUAUUUAAAAAUGACAAAUUCACCCAAAUAAGUACUUUGAAUAUCCUUUAUUCGGAUAAAGUAAAUGUUGUUAUUUUAUCUUAAAAUUGAAGAAACUCAGAAUUAAAUGGGAUUAUGGAGGGUAAUCUUGUGCUGGUGUGGCAAUCCUUUUGGUUACCUAUAUCACUUGUUGUAUGUGGAAUGAUAACCUCUCCGGUUAUAGCCGAUGAUCGAUUUAUAAAUUUUCCUUAAAUUGUCAAUCUUUGGAAAAUCUUGUGCAUUAUUUGAUGUUGGAUACGAGGCGAGUUACAGAUAUCCUUUAAAUUGUUAGCUUUUAGGUAAUCCUUCACAUUUUUCGACCUUGGAUAAGAGAUGGCUUACAGAUAUCUCUCCAAUCGCUAGCUUUUAGGUGUUCCUGCACAUCAUCCAACCUUGGAUACAAUAUGACUUAUAGAUAUCACUCAAAUUGCUAGUCCUUGGGUAAUCCUGUACAUAAUCAAUCUUGGAUAUGAUGCGGCUUAUAGAGAAUCCUUUGACGUAUCAAUUUGAUAAUCUCGCAUAUUCUUCGAUAAAAAUUUAGUUGCGACUUAUGGAUAACCUCCAGACUAUCGAUUUUUGGGCGAUCUUGCACACUAUCCGGUUAGGAUGUUGUUGUGGCUUACGGAUAACCUAUAGUCUAUCAACUCAUAGGUGAUCUUGCAUACUAUCCUAUUUCAAAUAAUAUGACUUAUAGAUGACCCUCAAAUUGUCAAUUUCUAGAAAAUCUCAUAUAUCAUCCGUCUUUAGAUACCGACUUAAAGACGUCCCUUCAAAUCCUGUGCUCUUGAUGCAUUCAGAUGCUAAUUCAUAAAAUGAUGAGAUAUCCUUGACACCAGCAUUUAUGUCUCACGUGUCAACAGAUAUUAAAUACUGAUGAUAUCCUCGAUGCCAGCGUUUAUGUCUUGCAUUUCAAUAGAUAUGAAUUACUGAUGAUAUCCUCGAUGCCAGCAUUUAUGUCUUGCAUGUCAAUAGACAUUAACUAAUGAUGAUAUCCUCGAUGCCAAUGUUUAUGUCUUGUAUGUCAACAGAUAUGAAAUGCUGAUGAUAACCUCGAUGCAGUAUUUAUAUCUUAUGUGUCAACAGAUAUGAAAUGUUGAUGACAUCCUCGAUGAUAGCAUUUAUGUCUUGCGUGUCAACAGAUAUGAAAUGCUGAUGACUUCCUCGAUGCCAGCGUUUAUAUCUUGCGUGUCAAUAGAUAUGAAUUGCUGAUGAUAUCCUUGACGCCAGCGUUUAUGUCUCCCAUGUCAACAGAUAUUAAAGGUUGAUAAUAUCCUCGAUGCCAGCAUUUAUGUCUUACGUGUCAAUAGAUAUGAAAUGAUGAUGAUAUGAAAUGGCCCUCUCGGCGAUGAUAUGAAUGGCCCUCUUGGCAAUGAUAUGAAAUGGCCUUCUUGGCGAUGCUAUGAAGUGGCCCUCUCGGCAAUGCUAUGAAAUGGCCCUCUUGGCAAUGAUAUGAAUGACCCUCUUGUGAAUGAUACGAAUGGACCUCUCGGCAAUGAUAUAAAAUGUCCCUCUCGGCAAUGCUAUGAAAGGGACCUCUUGGCAAUGAUAUGAAUGGCCUUCUUGACAGUGAUAUGAAAUAACAUAAAAUGGCUUUCUUGGCGAUGAUAUGAAUGACCCUCUUGGCAAUUUGAAAAUAGUUUCACCUGAGUUUGUUUUUCUGUGUCUUACUUUCUACAUGUACCUGUACUUGAAGUAGACAAUUAGUAGACACAAAGUUGUUCUCACCCUGUUUGUCUUAAGGUGAAUUUUAAGGGCAGCUUUUUGCUCUUCCUCCUAUUGAGAGAUCUUUUGAUUAUUGUAUUUAUUAUGCUAACUCCCUUGAAUAUACCUGCACCAAAAAUAUUUAGUAGGCACAAAGUCUCUUUUGCUAGCGACUAUGUUUUAGAAAAAUCCUAAAUACAAUAUUAUAAAGAAAAUAAGACGCCUUUGUUUGUCCUUUAUGAUCUCAAGAAAUGAGAUGGACAAUUCAAAAGGUAGUUGAUAAAUAGGUAUUAAACCUAUUUUUGAGGCUACCCUAAAAUACCGUUCUUAACCAUUGUAUGCUCAGGCAUGGCUCGCAACUUGCUUGGGGAUUUUAAAAGAAACACUCAUUUUGUAUAUCGAUCCCUGCAUCCACAGAAAAAUGAUUAGUUUGAAUAAAACUACUCCGUGUUGACUUUCUUGUCUGCUCAGUUUGCUCCUCUCCAUCUUUCAGGUGCCCCGUCAUAUUGGUAUCUCCACCCUAGGUCCCUGCUUCCAUAGACGCCCAGGCAAUCACUAAGUAAAAGAUUUGUAAAGAUUUUUUCAAAAGUAGUCUUAUUUUUAGCAAAUGGUUUCGAAAGUAUCUGUAAAAGCUUUAGAAAAUUUCUGCCAGUCAUGUCAUUUACUAGCUCAACGAGCGUCUUCUUCGUGGUUUUAACUAUAUCUGACGGAUGAUUUUCAAAACUCAUGAUCAUUUUUUGAGGGUUCUUCAAAUAGUUCUGUCAUAGCCAGAAAUUAAGUCUACCUAGACUUUGUCGCAGUUGGUGGCUUCAAAAACUUGUCUUUAACCUCUGGAGUCGAGGACUUUGAAAUAUAUUCCAAUAGUUGGUAGAAAUUUUGAGGCCUCUCUCAAAAUUUCUGCCACAGUUUAAAGUAGUCUGAGAUGAUAUCAUCUAGAGUGGAUCUGAAGUCUUUGCUGAUCUUCAUUCUCUUUGUUGGAUAUUGAUCUUCUCUUGUGAAUUUUUGAGAUUUCUUCUUGAAAAUUCUGCCCUAGUUUCCAUUUCCUGGGGUUAUAUGACCGAACCAUUGGGGCGCCUACGUAUCCCGUUGAAGCAGGAAUCAGGUCAAACGUAGUUCAAGACUACGCUAAAGAUAUAUAGAAAAUCUAAUGGAUUGACCGAAGCCGACAUAGGCCACCUAUGUAUCUCUUUUGUUGGGAAUUUAGGUCAUUACGUAGUUCAUACAUAAAAGGAAAGGAUAAAUUUUCUUAAGGGGUUGAUCGAAGCCGACAUAGGCCGCCAACGUAUCCCUCUUUGGAAAUUCAGGUCAAAAGUAGUUCGUACAUAAAAGGAAAGGAUAAAUUUUCCUAAGGGGUUGACCGAAGCCAACAUAGGCCGCCUACGUAUCUCUUUUUGGGAAUUCAGGUCAAAUGUAGUUCGUACAUAAACUCAUCUUUAGGGUUAAAUAGCCCUAGAUACUCUUAUCCAUCCUACUAGAAAUAAACAUUCUACAAAUGACAUGACAUUUUCAUUACGUUUGUCUUGAUAGAAUAAAGGAUCAAAUAUCCAAUUCCCUUAGUCAUCGCUCAGUUUUCUCUAGAUCAGGCUUCUUUAAUUCUCGAACUCUUUGACUCUUCUAUUAACUGUUCCAGGGCUAUCAUUAUUUUUUUUUUGACAUGACAUGAUAAUGGCAGGUUUUGAGCUAUUAUUAUACGACGGGCGAUGAGUCAUGAGUGAAGUGGUGGUCCAAUUCAACAAUGUUUCCUCCAAUUUAUCUUCUAUGAUCCCGAUUGUCUUGGAAAAUUCCUCCCUUACAUUUUCUCCUAUUCCAUCCUCAAGACCAUCGCUUACAGGUUUGGAAAAAUGAUUGGUAGAGUCUAGUUUUACAACUAGUCAUUUUUCUUUUCUUGUAACAAAGUUAUAGUUAAGAAGGGGAUUUCUUAUUCAUUUGAUCUAGUGAAGUAUGGUCAUUUUAUGCCAACACAGUGUAAUUUCUAUUACCUGCAAAGUAAAAACAACUCAAAGGCUGAUGUGUUAAAUUCUGUUAGUAAUAAGCAAAGCAAGAUGAUAAGGUAAGAAGUAAACACAUAGAGUUGUUUCUCCUCUCAUGCGAAUUGAUCCAUGAAGUAAUGAUGACUCAAGAAUUUCAAUGAACAGGAUUUUUCUCAAUGAUAUGGAUGGGUAGAAUUUAUUCGGAAGGCUCAACUUUUAUUCUUUCCGACCUUAUUACUUCUUUCAAGAAAAUGGAGGUCAACAGAGCUUUUGGAGAAAUAGGCAGAGCCGAAAGGCUGUCUACGUAUCUUACGGAGGAGAAAUCAGGCCCUACGUAAUUCAAAACUAUAAUGGAUUUUUCUGAUUCUAAAAUCAACUUUUCGAAAACGGUAGCGAUCAUUUUGGAAGUUUUAAGAACGACUGCGGACUUUUCUGAGAAACUUGGGAGACUUGGAGUACGUUUGGUCGGACUUUUGUAUAUUGGGGUAUAUUUAUGCCUAGAGAUGUUCUAUGGAAAAUAAGGUUGGAUCAAUUCGCCUUUGAUUCGAAUCAACAUAACACGUAUAACCACAUAAACAGUUAUAUUACAUAAGUAUAUUGUAAUAAACAUGCAUCCUAAUUGAGUGAGCCUAACGAAUUUUGAAGAAAAUAUACGCCUUUUAAAAGCCAAUCCAUUAUCCCCUAAAAUCUUCAUAGAUAUACAUAAAUGGCAUAAAUGCCUACAAACGUUGCACAAAGGGGAUAUAAUCUUUAGGGAAAGGGAAAAUAACAUGAGAAGAAAAGUAAUGUCCCGCGCAAGGGAUAAUAAGUACUAAUUCCUGAAUGCUUCUUCUAUCGGCCUUCGCUUUCUUAGCUUUGUCCACUUCUCAAUAUUGGCGACAUCCGUUAAUGAUCAAGUGAUUGCCGUAUAACUGUACCAUUGAUGCCAUGCAACUGUCCAAAUCAAUCAAUUUCUUUCUUGACUUGUUUCAAUUCUUUUAUCAAUCGGUGUACGAUUGAGGCAUCCUUAUACAAAAGUAAGUAAAACAAGUCUUCUCCCGAACCCCCAAAGGAUAAUGAAUUGGAUUAAACAAACAUAUAUUUCUUCAACACAUAAAUAUGAUUCGUCUGUAAUUGACUUGGGGUCAAUAGACGCAGGGCAAGUUUUCUAAUGGACCCAAUACCCCCCUCGGGUAUUAGAUCAUCCUAGGCUUAUACCUAAAAUAGGAUUUUGGUUUUGCUCUAUCUUAAAUGUCUAGAGUGGGUUUGAACCGGGUUCCCAAGCGGAUGUCUUAGGUUUGGAAAUACAAACAGCCAUCAAAUGACUCACGUGCUAAUAAACCGCUGUAUUUCCAACACAUUAUUUGGAAUUGAACAAUAGGGGUCGGGACAUGCACGAAACCCAAAAAUAGUUUAAAUAAAUACAGGAAUAUGCUAUGAGAUGCACUAAUUAAAUACCAUGAAAUCAAACAUAUAAACACGUAAAUAGUUAAUCAAAAGAUGAAAUCAAACAUUUGAUUAGAACCUAGUUUAAAAUCCCCAUGAGUCGCCAUUUCAGUUUUUCAGAAAUUUUGACUUUUAAAGAGUCACCACUUAAUUUUGAAAAUGAAUUAAGAAACCUUUAUAAGAUACUUUAAACAAUCAAAAAACAAUCAAAAACAGAAAAAUCGCUUGAGUUUAAAGAUUCUAAGUAAGCGGUUCUUAUUAAUGUUUUAGGAAGGUGUUAAGACACCUAAAAUGUCCGCUAACUUGCGAUUAUCUGGACUGUUUGAAAACGUCAUUUGAUUAACUUCAAAAAAAAAAGAUUGAUUUGUUAAAAAGUGAUCGAUUUUUAGCAAAUACUUAUGUAAAAUGAAUUUAGACGACUUAGUAGGGAUUUUAACUAAGUAUAAACAAAACUAAUAAACAAAUAAACACAUAAAGGAAAAAGGGAGGAGAAUGUAAAAGAUUUAGGCCAUUGGGCCCAAAUCAACGAAACCUGUCCUAAUCUAGAUAUUGGGCCCUUGGCCCAUAAUCUGUCCUAGUCUAAUUUUCGAACCUUUGGCUUGAGUUUCACUUUACCUGUAUUAAAUACAACUUUGGCUUCGAGGCCCAAAUGAAUGAAUAAAUAAAUAAAUAAAUAAAGACAACAAUAAGUAAAUAAAUAAAAUAAUAAAUGAAACUUUUGAGUCUCUGAGCUAUUUUGCCAAUGCGUUCCAACCCAUUUUCUUUUUCUUCUAUCUUCUUGUAUCCAUGUGCUACAUAAUUGACUCCCGGAAUUAAUUUGAUAGAAAUGGUGGGCCCUAAUGGCCCAUGAAGAAUUGUGAAGAGAGAUUAAAUCCAUUUUUUGGACUCGAGGCAAGUGGUACAUGUAAAGAAAAGGGUAAGGAUUAGAACCUCAUAAAAGAGAAACUGAUGCUACUGAUGCUGAAAGAAAUAGAAAAUAAUCUAAAAUGCUCCAAGAAACAAGACAUCUCAAAGAAAAUAAAGCCUUUUAUCUUACCCUUUUGACAAAUUAAAAUCGAACUUUUUUAAAGAGAAACUUGACUUCACAUAAAAGUAUAUUUAGGAGUUAGCUUAUCACGAUCUUCAAUCACAAAUAAGUUAAUUCUAUGAUAGGAAUAGGCAUGUUUAAAUAACUCAAACUAACCGAAUAAAAACACAACAAUUCACACAAGAAACAUAGUCUAUUCUGCUAUGCACAAAAUAGAUGAGGCAGUCGAAACAACUCCUUACAAACUGCAACAACACACAGGAUCCUGCGUGUAGAAUAGGUGCAGCAAGGAAAAGAGAGCAGACCGAAACCCAUAAUUCAUCAUUUAGCAAAGAGUAAAUCAAGAAAAAUUCUAUACUAUCCUAAACGAGAUCAUCAAGAGAAUGCAAUGGCAGACUUAAUCCAAUACAGCUCAAUCGUUUCCCAUUAACAGGUCCAUUACUUUGGAACACAGCCACCAAGAACAACUUAAGACAACCGAAACAUAAACAUAAAUUCACAUAUUUUCAUUUAUAGAAAUACUCAUAUAGAAAAGGUUUGUGGAUUUAGAGAGGAAAAAAAAGCAUCCAUGUCGAAGGACGAAUAGGGUCGUCUACAAUGAAAACCAUUCCACAAAGCCUCAAUCUUUGACAAAAGAAAAUUGUUGUUUUACGUCUAUAUUCUAAUUAAAAAACAUAAUUAGAAUCGAACAGCUCCUCAAAAUAGUCUCAGACAAACAGCGAUUGAUGCAUUCAAAUAUGAAUUAUAACCAUCAAACGACCAACGAAAUAGUCGAAACUAUGGCAAGUUUCAUUAAACGUAAAUCCUAUGGCUUAUAAGCCUUCCUACAACGGACAAACCCAGCACUAAUAGUAUUGGGAAAUGUUCAUGAUUGCAGCAAUGUGAAAUGAAGCAGAAUACGAUUGAAAUUGAAAUAGAAAUGGAAUAUUACCUGUUUGAGAGCAGCAAAAUAGGGCAACGAGUUAAUCAUCGGGAUAUUGAUCACCACCGAAGCUUCGCCGCUACUUCGACGAUCCCGACAAACUCAACAGCUUCUAAACUUUCACUAAAAUAGAGGAAUUUGUUCACUAAUUUUCGCUAAAUGAUUUUUUCUCUCCCUUUUCACCCUUUCGGACCUAGCUUUCUUCACUCCUCCACUUUAUCGGACCCAAAUUUUCGAACCCUAAUUUUUCUUUUUCUUCCUCCCUUUUUCAACUCAAUCAAGAGCAGCUUAUAUAAAAGCAAGCUCAGGUUUCUCUUUCGUGACUUGAACGAUGUGGGAAAAUUGAAGUUCGGGGUUAAUUUAGGGAUUGCCCAUCGAGAUAUAUUCAAAAUUCAAACUAAAAAAUCCUCCCACAGCUUGGGUUUUCCUCUCCAAAUUGUACCGAUUCUUUUGGUUUUGUUGAGAGAAAUUGAGAAUAGGUGGACCAAUACCAUUUGGGCAAACCAAAUUCUCCCCUAAACCAAUGAAAAUCAUCCAGAUAUGUACGAAAUAAUACAAAUCAAUACGAAAAUCUAGGGAUUUAAAUGUUGGGGAGACAACUCACCUAUUUCUAGAAGCUUCCUAAGCUUUUCUCGUACAGGUUCGCGUUGAAGCUGGUCAGGUCAGAGAUGGUGAUUUUGGGUUACAUCUUUACUGAUAUCGAUUGAGCACUGGGUCAAUUUUGGGGAAGCUGGGUUCGAUUGUUCGCGAUUUGGAAACCAGAAGCGUGUUUUUUUGUUUUUGCCGAUCGAUGUUGUAGGCUGUUCUGUUGUUGUUGAUUAAAGGAGAAAUAGGAAGCUGGGUCGGGUUGGAAGUUUGUUGGGUUUGGGCCUGUUGGAGUGGGUAAUUGGUGAAAGGAAUGGGCUGGUGUGGCUAGUUGUUAUGUGUAAGGGAAAAUGGGCUGCUAAAAUUGUUAUUAUCUUUGGGUUGAUUCGGUUAUUUUAAUGGAUUUGGCCAAUUUAAAUUCUAGCCUAUUUGAAUACCAAUUGGACAAUUGCAUUACAAUUGGGGCCAAUUUGAUUUCAAUUAGUCAAAUUUAAUAAAUUGACUAAAUCAAAUCGAAAUUCGAUACAAAUUAACACCUUGUUUAAUCCCGAGCUUCUUGAUUUAAUAAAAUCGACUAAAUAUUUUCUAAAUCAAUUGUUUUCAAUAGUAGAUUAUAUUUAAAUCAAGAUUUUAAUUAUUAUAAUUUAUUUUCAAGAUAAUCCUUGAUUAACAUUUGAUACUUUGUAAAAUAAAUAUUUAAGUAACAAAAUUAUAAUAUAUCGUAUAAUUAAAUACGACAAUAUAUAAUCACUAUUUAAAAAUGACAAAUUCACCAAAAUAAGUACUUUGAAAAUUUUUUAUUCGGAUAAAGUAAAUGUUGUUGUUUUAUCUUAAAAUUGAAGAAACUUAGAAUUAAACUGGGUUGUGAAGGGUAAAAAAUAGGUGUCAACAGGGUUACUUAUUGGUCAUCUCGGGUGAGUUUUGGAUUUUUCAGACCAACGUAAGGGCGACCCCCUACUGUUUUGGACAUCCAAACUUUGAUGAAUUUUAAUUCAACCUUCUCGGCCUUAAAAUGCCGAUCUUUAAGUUGAUUCAUGAUCGGGGUUACUUAUAGGUCAUCUCGGGUGAGCUUUGGAUUUUUCAGACCAACGUACGAGUGAGUUUGGAUGUCCAAAAUAGUAGGGGGUCGCGAUAGGGCCACGCCGCGAGGGUCAGUUGACCCUGGCUUAGGGUCGCACCGGUACAGCUGCUUGACCCAAGCAAGGGUCGCGCCGCGACAGCCGCUUGACCCAACUAGGGGUCGCGACACGAAGAGAGUCCCCGUUCAGCAUUUUAAAUCCAUAUCAAUUAAGGGCAUUUGGGUAUUUUUCCCUCACCCAAGUGACCCAUAACAUGAAAUUAAGGAUUAAAAGAGGGCAAAUCACUCUUCUUUUCAUAUAUUCUCUCAAGAACAAAGCCCUAGUUUCUUCAAGUCCAAGUUUAAGCUUCAAGAAAUCGCCAAUAACCCACACGAAUACAUGUACUAAGGUAUAUUAAGUGUUCAUCCUUAGGUCCCUUCCAACCCUUGGAGUCCAAGAACCUUUUUAAAAGCUUAAGUGAUAAGUUUGCUUGAUUUAAAUCACAUUAUGUCCAUAUAUGUGUUGUCAUUUGAGUGUCAAUUUAUAAAUAUAUAAAUUCCAUGUGAAAUAAAAUAAUGCGUACAUUGGUUAAUGUAAGUAUCAUGUUGAAUACCUUAAAUUGUGAAUUAAAUAAUAAAGUCAUGAUAUAUUAGCAUGUUGAGCAUUCCCAUGUACGAAAAUAUGCCUUCAAAGUGUUUAAUAAAGUGAUUAUAGGAGUGAAGGUUAAAUUGUGAUUGUUUGUUAUGCUUUAUAAUUUAUGGUAGGGUCCUAUUGUCAAUGAUAUUGAGUCCUGAGGGUUAUGAUACCCAAAAUUUAGUUGCUUACCCAUAUUACAGUAGUCAUAGAAAGAUCCUAAUCAUAUCAUGAAUAGUAGUACUCAGUCAGUUAACAUGGUCAGUGUGAAUUCAGUUAAGCCUAGCCCACUAAUCAGUUCAGUUGGGAGUAGGAUUUAGCACCGAGCGAAUCCAGGGAUGGGAGCAUUCCUGCCAACUUAGGGUGUAACACUUAGUAGCAAUCCCUAAGAUACAGAACUAUGUAGCCUGGGUAGGUUAAUAUGUCUUCUUGCUAGUAUAAGGUUUACAUACCUAUUUAUAUCUCAUGAGUCUUCCUACCAUAUUAGGGUUGACUGAGCCAUUGUUAGUAACCCAUGGCACGAUACUAACACCCUUCCAAUUGGGGUUACAGGUUGGACACCAAUCAGUUUAUAUUGGGGUAUGUAGGUUAGAUGAAAGCUCCCACAGUUUUAAUUUCAAUACUCAGUUUAGAAUUCAGUUUAGUCUUUCGUGACCAUAGCAUAUAGAUUACCAGUUAUAUAGCUAUCAAAUUUUAGUAUCUCAGUUUACAUGCUACUUCAGUACUUGAUUUAUGCGUGGUCAUACAUUCCCAGUCAUUACAGUCUUCAUGCAUUAUUACUCAGUACCUCAUUCUGUACAUUCGGUCAGUUAUUGCUACUGAAUAUGAACCCAUGCAUAUCAGCCUAACCUCAUUUAGCAUACCAGUAUAUUCAAAAGUACUGAACGCAUACUUUUUUCUUACGUGAUGAUGUCUUAUAUCAUAAGUUCAGACGCUCAAAUUCCCUAUCGAACUUAGACUUUCCAGUGCAUCAGCAGCAGCAGCCGUGUUGAGUCCUUUUCGUUCGAUGAAGAUUUAUCAUAUAUUCAGUUAUGUUAGUAGUUCAGUUAUUUAGUUAGUCGAAGUUAGUUGGGGGCUUGUCCCAUCAACUCCAUCGUCAGAUAGUUUAGAGGCUUUCAGACUAGUACAGAUAGAUGUUUAGAUUUUAAUUAUGAUAAUUAGUUGUCUUAUCAGUAUGUUCCCAAAUGUUUUAAACCAUGAUUUAGUAUUAAUUUUAGUUAUUAAAACCUUAUGUCAUUUUAUUUGAAAUUCUAGGUACGUUGUUCAUCAGUUUUAUUUAGUGCUCAUAGCAGGUACCACCUCAUGGGUUAGCUUGUGGUCUUAUGGGACCGUAAGCACCGUGUGGUGUCCAGGGUGUAUAUAUUCUUGGGUCAUUACAAAUAUUGUAUCAGAGCCUAAGGUUUUAAAACAUCCUAGGAAGUCUAAAAGUCGCGUCGAGUAGAGUCUUGUGCAUGGGUGUGUAGCGCACCACACUUAUGGGCAAGAGGCUACAAGAUGUUUUAGGAAAUAUUUCCUUUCUUUCAGUAUCUUUCCAUGGCCAUAUUGUCUCAGAUGAUGGCAUUAGAUUUGACCCUCAAAAGACCAAAGCAGUGAGGAGCUGGCCUAGACCUAAUUUUCCAUCAGAUAUCAGGAGUUUUUUAAGCUUGGCCAGCUAUUACCAAUGGUUUAUUAAGGGGUUUUCGUCUAUUGAAUCACCCCUGUACAUAUUAACUCAGGAGAAAGUCAAGUUCUAGUGGUCAGAUUCUUGUGAGAAGAGUUUUUAGGAGUUGAAGACUCGACUCACCUCAGCUUCAGUUUUGACCUUGCUAGAUGGUUCAUAUGGGUUCGUUGUUUAUUAUGAUGUUUCUAGAGUUGGUUUGGGGUGUGUUUUGAUGCAGAAGGGUAAGGUCAUAGUCUAUGCCUCCAGACAACUUAAUCCUCAUGGAAAGGAUUACCCUACUCAUGAUCUCAAACUAGAAGCUGUUGUGUUUCCCUUAAGAAUUUGGAGGCAUUAUUUAUAUGGGGUGCAUGUUGAUGUGUUCACAGACCACAAGAGCUUACAGUAUGUAUUCUCAUAAAAUGAUUUGAUCUUGUAUCAGAGGAGGUGGUUAGAGCUAUUAAAAUACUAUGACAUAAGUCUUCUGUAUUAUCCGGGAAAGGCCAAUAUAGUGGCAGUGACCCUCAGUAGGUUGUCCAUGGGUAGAGUUGCUCACAUUGAAAAUGAUAAGAAGAAGCUAGUUUAGGAAGUUCAUUAGCUUGCCAGACUAGGUUUCCGUUUGGUUGAUUCAGCCGAGGGUAGUGUGUGGGCACAAAAUAGUUCAGAAUCCUCUUUGGUUGUCGAAGUAAAAGAAAAGCAGGAUAUAGAUUCUAGUUUGGUUAGGUUGACGAAGUCUGUUAGAGAUCAGAAAGUAGAGGUUUUCUCCCAAGGGGAGAUGGUGUAUUACAUUGCCAGGGUAGACUAUGUGUGCUAUGUGUAGAUAACCUGAGGUAGUAGAUUCUUGCAGAAGAGCAUGGUGCGCGUUACUCUAUUCAUCCAGGGUCCACUAAGAUGUACCGUGAUUUGCAAGAGAUCUAUUAAUGGAGUGGGAUGAAGAGAGACAUUACAGAGUUUGUAGCUAAGUAUUCUACCUGCCAAUACGUUAAUAUUGAGCACCAAAAGCCUAGUGGUUCUAUAUAGGAGUUUAGUAUCCCCACUUGGAAGUGGGAGAAAGUGAACAUGGACUUUGUGAUGGGUUUGCCUCGUACUCGUCAUCUGCAUAAUUCAAUUUGGGUCAUUGUGGAUAGGAUGACCAAGUCAGCCCAUUUCCUACCAAUCUAUAUUUCCUAUUUAGUUGAGGAUUAUGCCAAGCUCUACCUUAGAAUGUUGGUUAGGUUACAUGGUAUUCCGUUGUCUAUCAUUUCUGAUAGAGGUACUCAGUUUACCUCCCACUUUUGGAAAGCCUUCCAGAAGGGUCUUGGUACCCAGUUUACCUCAGUGCAGCCUUUUACCCUCAGAUGGAUGGUCAAGGAGAGAGGACCAUUAAAACCUUAGAAGAUAUGUUGAGAGUGUGUGUCCUUGAUUUUAAAGGUAACUGGGAUGAUCACUUAUUUUUAAUAGAGUUCGCAUAUAAUAACAGCUAUCAUUCCAGUAUUCAAAUGCUCCAUUUGAGGCUCUUUAUAGAAAGAGGUGUAGAUCUCCUAUUGGUUGGUUCGAGGUAGUGGAGACCGCAUUGAUAGGGCCUGAUUUAGUAUUCGAUACCUUAGAGAAGGUUUAGUUGAUCAGUGAAAGGCUUAAGACAACCUAAAGCCAAUAGAAAUUCUUUGUUGAUGUGAGGAAAAGAGACCUUGAGUUUGAGAUUGGUGACCUAGUUUACUUGAAAAUCUCUCCCAUGAAGGGGGUGAAGAGUUUUGGUAAUAAGGGGAAGUUUAGCCCCUGAUAUGUUGGCCCUUAUAGAAUUCUGAGUGUUUCGGAAAGGUAGCCUAUGAACUAUAGUUGCCUGCAGACUUAGCAUCAGUGCACCUAGUAUUUCACGUCUUUCUGCUAAAGAAGUAUAUUGGUGACCCAAUGGUUGUAGUCCCCUUAGAAAGUGUAGAUGUUCAGAACAGUCUCUCUUAUAAAGAAGUUCUAGUCAAAAUCCUCGAUCAACAGAUUCGCCGACUAAGGAACAAAGAAGUUCCCUUGGUCAAACUUCUUUGGCACUAGUCUGUUGAGGGAGCCACUUGGGAAGAAGAAGUAGACAUGCAAACCAAGUACCCUUAUCUCUUCUCCACAAACUAAGUCUCAGCCUAAGGUAAUAGUCUUCCUUAGAUAUUCUCUACUUCAUACUCAGUUCCAGCUGCAUAUCAUUCUCAUGUUAUUCAUGCAUUCACAAAAUCAAUUGGGCCAUAUGUUAUUUUUUAAGAUUCAGUCAUGUUUCAGUUGUGCAUAUUAGUAUAUAAUCUCAGUUUCUAAUUAUUCUCAGCUUAACUAGUCUCAUUCGUGGAUGAAUGUUCCCAAGGGGGAGAUAUUGUAAUACCCCAUAUGUUUCUUAGUCCAAUUCAGCUCAUAAAGUGCAUAUGAGAGGCCUAAGACUAAAAAAUUUAGCUAAGUGUUAAAGACUUAGUCUCAUUUUUGUCCUCUAAACUUUGAUGAAUUUUAAUUCGACCUUUCCGUCCUUAAAAUGUCGAUCUACAAGUAUAUUCAUGAUGGGGGUUACUUAUAGGUCAUCUCGGGUGAGUUUUAGAUUUUUUCAGACCAGCGUAAGGGUGAGUUUGGAUGUCUAAGAUAAUAGGGUCGAGAUAGGGCCGCACCGCAAGGGUCAAUUGAACUAGGAUCAGGGUCACGCCGCGAUGGCUGCUUGACCUAAGCAAGGGUUGCACCGCGACGACUGCUUGACCCAACCAGGGGUGCAACGCAAGGGGAGGCCCCAUUCAGCAUUUUAAAUCCAUGACAAUUAAGGGCAUUUAGGUCUUUUUCCCCCACCCAAGUGGCCCAUAACACAAAAUUAAGGAUAAAAAAAGCACAAAUCACUCUUUUUUUCACAUAUUCUCUUAAGAAGAAAGCCCUAGUUUCUUCAAGUCCAAGUUCUUCAAGAAAUCGCCAACAACCCAUAUGAAUUCAUUUACUAAGGUAUGUUAAGUGUUCAUCUUUGGGUCCCUUCCAACCCUUGGAGUCCAGGAACCUUUUCCAAAGCUUGAGUAAAAAGUUUUCUUGAUUUAAAUCAUAUUAUGUCCAUGUAUACAUUGUAAUUUGAGUGUCAAGUUAUGAUUAUAUAAAUUCCAUGUGAAAUAAACUAAUGCAUACAUUGGUUAAUGUAAGUAUCAUGUUGAAUCCCCUAAAUUAUGAAUUAAAUGAUUAAUUUGUGAUAUGUUAGCAUGUUGAGCAUUCCUAUGUAUGAAAAUAUGCCUUCCAAGUGUUUGAUAAAGUGACUACAGGAGUGAAAGUUGAAUUGUAACUAUUUGUUAUGCUUUAUUAUUUAUGGUAGGGUCCUAUUGUCAAUAAUAUCAAGUCUUGGGGGUUAUGAUACCCAAAAUUUAGUUGCUUACCUAGUUUACAGUAGUCAUAGAAAGAUCUUAGUCGUAUCAUGAACAGUAGUACUAAGUCAGUUAAAAUGGUCAGUGUGAAUUCAGUCAAGCCCAGCCCAGUUUAGUGAUCAGUAUAGGUUCAGAUGGGAGUAGGAUUCAACACCGAAAGAACCCAGGGAUAAGGGCAUUCCUGCCAGCUUAGGGUGUGACCCUUAGUAGCAAUCCCUGAGUUACAAAACUACGUAGCCAGCAUAGGUUAAUAUGUCUUCCUACCAGUCUAGGGUUGACAUGCAUAUUUAUAUCUCAUGAGUUUUCCAGCUAGAUUAGCGUUGACCCUACCAUUGUUAGUAACUUGUAGGAUGGUACUAACACCCUUCUAACUGGGGUUACAGGUUGGACCCCAAUUAGUUUAUAUUAGGGCAUACCGGUUAGAUAAAAGCUCCCACAGUUUCAGUUUCAGUACUCAAUUAUUAAUUUAGUUUAGUCUUGAAUGACCAUAACAUAUAGUUUACCAGUUAUAUAGCCAUCAGAUUUCAGUAUCUCAGUUUACAUGCUACUUCAGUACUGGAUUUAUGCAUGGUCAUACAUUCCAAGUCAUUACAAUUUUCAUGCAUUAUUACUCAGUACCUCAUGCUGUACAUUUAGUCAGUUAUUACUCCAGAACAUGAACCGGUGCAUAUCAGAAUAACCUAAUUUAGCAUACCGGCACAUUCAAAAGUACUAACUACAUACUAUUUUUUUAUGUUAUGUUGUCUUAUAUCAUAGGUUCAGACACUCAGAUUCUAGAUCAUACUUAGAAUUUCUAGUGCAUCAGCAACAACAGCCGUGGUGAGUCCUCUUCCUUCGAGGAUGAGUUAUAUUAUGUUCAGUUAUGUUAGUAGUUCAAUUAUUUAGUCAGUCAGAGUUAGUUGGGGGCUUGUCCCAUCAACUCCACCGUCAGAUAGUUUACAGGUUUUCAGACUAGUAUAGAUAGUUGUUUAAUUUUCAAUUAUGAUUAUUAAUUGUCUUAUCAGUAUGUUUCCAAAUAUUUUAAACUAUGAUUUAGUAUUAAUUUUAGUUAUUAAAACCUUAUGUCAUUUUAGUUAAAAUUCUGCGUAUGUUGUUUAUCAGUUUUAUUCAGUACUCACAGCAGGUACUAGCUCAUGGGUUAGCUUGUGGUCUCAUGGGACCGCAAUCACCAUGUGGCAUCCAGGGUGUACUCCCAAGUCGUUACAUAAACUUAGGAUAAUAACAAUUUCUCAUCAAAAUAGUGAAAUUCAAGACAAAAUAUCAAACUUGUAGUUUAAAACAUGAAUAAGUACAACUGUUAUGCUCUUUAGUCCUUUAAAUCACAGGGUAAUGCUAUGCUUCAAUACAUGAGAAUUUAGAAAUGAACCCUAAUUUAAAAUAUAUAAAUUCAACUUGAAAAUAAUACUCUCAGGCACAAGGAUAAAAUAUUAAACUUGUUCAAAACUCCACAUACCUGAAUUUCUUGAUUUCUUAAUGAAAGCUUGAAAUUAGAACUUGAAUUCUUGAGUUCUUGGGGAAGAAAGCUUGAAUUUCUUAUUCUUGGGAAGAAACCCUAAUUUCUUUUCUCUUGAGAGUGAAGAGGAUAGUAAAUAUUGAAAACUAACUAAUGAUGUGAAACUAUUGUGUAUAGUAUGAUUUAAGUCAUGGGGUAGGAUUUGAGGUGAGGAAAAGACCAAAAUACCCAUAGGGAAACUGAAUAAAAAUUAUUGGAAUUUCUGUAGUUGAUGACUUAGUUGACAACCUGUCAACUAGUUGAUGAUCUGUCAACCUAGUCGUCACCUUCUCUUCAUGAUCUAGUUAAGGUUGAUGACUUAGUUGAUAGCCUGUCAACUAGUUGACGGCUUGUCAACCUAGUUGUCACCUUCUCUUCAUGAUCUGGUUAAGGUUGACAACUUAGUUGACAGCCUGCCAACUAGUUAAUGACUUGUCAACCUAGUCAUCAUCUUUCCUUUAGAGAUACAGGGUGUUUUUGGUUAAGGGUGACGACGAGGUUGAUAGCUAGUCACUUAGUUGAUGUCUUAUCACCCCAAGUUGUCACCUUGUUGACAUACGAACAAACUGAGGUAAAAUGAGCAUAACUUUCCACGCAACUAUCAGAUUAAGGUGAAAUCAAAUGCUUUGUAAAGAAGAUUUAAAGAACUUUCAUUGGAUAUAUAGUAGGAAACCUGAAUCUAUAUAUUCUAUAAGAUAAAAUCAUUUAAAUUUGACCCUUUUAGGAUCAAAUACAAAAACUCAAUCGAUGAAAGUGUUCUCAACUAUUCUUUGCUCUAAGUGCUUCCUAUGACCAUGAUUCAUAUCGAAACCACUUUAUAUACAAGGUGAAUGGUCAUGACAUAUAUUUUCAUAUACAAAUCAUAGGAUUGGAGUUAUACAUUUAGGAUUAACAAUUCAAAUUCUAGCCUGAAAGUAUGGGGUGUUACAGACUAGUUGGGCAAAAUAAGUCCCUUAGCAUGUGCGUACCUAUUACUAUUAAUUUUGAAAGGUCGUGUGGUUUAACAAGCUGAUAAAAAUAUAAUGGUUUUCUAAUUGUGAGGUUUAGAAGGAUAUCAUUUUUGCUUAUGAAAAGAUUGUUAGAGCAAUGUGACCAAUAUUAAAUUUCGGUGUUGCUACUUUAUUGAUUUCUAAAGAAUUAAAGCCGAUGUUAAAUUUUAGUAUUUUUGUGAGAUGUGAUUGGAUUGGAAGCCACGAGCUGGGAUUGUGAUUAUAAUAAUAAUAAAGGAGUUGAUAAUGAAGUGAUUCAAAGUGAUGAAUUUAAUGAAUAAUCCUAAAGAAACAAUACCAAACUUCAAUAAUUGAAUUAAUCCUUUUUCAAUAGUAAGUAUAAGUUUGUUAAUUAGAUUUGAGUUCUCUAAUGAUUCUUACUGAAAUAUGGGUUGACUUGAUUCCCUAAUUGAUUGUAUCCUUGAGAUUGAUUAGGUGACAUGUGCUUGGAAAAGUGAAACUCUAUACUUACUUUCUAUAUGUGGUCAGCUUGCUUCAUUUAUACUUGUCGUAAUUAUAGUUUACCCUAAUGACUAUUUAUUAUUCCUUAAUGUUAUAAGAGAGUGUUUGAUUGGUAAUCCGAGAGUUUAGUGUGAGUUGUCUAUGAUUAUUGGGUUUAUCCUAUAGAUGUGUGAUAACGCUCAAUCUACAGCUCUCGUGGGAGUGUAAAGCGGUCGUUAGCAAAUAUAGAACCCAACCUGGGUUGGGUAUCGAUCCCACAGAGAAUAGCUUGGCCAACAAGCAAGAGAAAUUACUAGACUUUUAGUGCAAGUCUCGUAGGAAAGGGGGGAUUGUAGUAUGUAACCAAAACAAGAAUGUAAGAACUGAAAAUAGCAAAAUAAAGAGAGAUUGUCACGUGUGUUGUAAACAAUGAGAAUUGAGGCGUUGGGGUUAUGUCCACCUUCUGAGGUAUACGUCUCUAUUGGCUAUGAGUGUGUAGAGUCUUGACAUGUAAUUGCUUAUAGAGAAUUGUAGUCGAUGGUAAAUCCAAGCGUCUCUCGACCUAAACAAGGACUAUUUCACUUUAACUCUCUCGAGCUUAAAGCGUGACUAACGGUACGAAUUCUCCAAGAAGUUAGUCCAGGUACGGCACUAGCUUUUUAAUAGGAAAGGGUGUCCUACUACCUUGACAUUAUCUCUUUUCCAGACAAAUAACUUUUCUCUCGAACAAGUCAGAUGUUAGACUGGCGUUGGUCUAUGCGUCUUCUUUUCUAGACAAAUAACCUUUCUCUCGAACAGGUUAGAUGUUAGAAUGGCGUGUUCUUGUGUUUGAACCGCAAAGAAUGUAGAUUUAAGAUGAAGAGAAUAAUGAUAUAAGCAAUAUACUUGUCUUGAACUCACAAACUCAUAGCUAUAGAUAGUAACUCAUUCGGCUUCCAUAACCCCAACUAAGAGAUUUAGUUACCCAUGAAUGCGAAGGAUAUCACGCUUUGCAUGGUGGAUGGCGUGAAUAGUAGGUGUUUGGCGUGUGGUUUUAGUGAUUCCGUAGCAAGUAACGAUUCUCUUGUUGUGGAAUUUAAGAGUAGAAGAAUGAAGAAUUGAGAAUGGGUUGUAGGAAGAUGUCUUAAUUGUAAGGAGAUGAAUGAAUUGUCAGAAUGUCUCCCUUCUUGAAAAUCUCUAACAUGAUAGGGUAUUUAUAAUACUCCUAUCCUACUCCUACUAAACUAAUAAAAUAAAUAACCAAAUCCUAAUAUACUAAUGAAAUCCUUGACCCAAUUGUACUAGGGUAAGGUUACAAAAUUAUAAUCCAAAUAGAAUGAUGAAACACAUAACCUAAUUGCACUAGGUUAAUGUAUUAUGGCAAAAAUCCAGCUUUGUGUCUGUAAGUCCCAAAGUCUUCAGAAAUGCUGUUUUAGCCCGGGACAGAUUUUCCAUGCAGCAGAUUUAGUCCUUUAUGCGUCCAGCUCCUUUCCAUCUCGUUUGUGAGCUUUCUUUUGCGUCAAGUAAGCCAUAAAUUGCUGUAUUUUGCAUCAUUUAUACCUGAAACUUUCCUAAUCACAUUUGUUAGCUCAUUUACAGGAAAAAGGACUAAAAGUGUACGAAAUAGAUAAUUAGUUCUCGAAACUAGGCUAAAAUAUGGGCAAAAUAUAUUGAUAUAGGCGCGUAAUUUCGCCUAUCAUCAACACCCCACACUUAGAGCUUUGUUCGUCCUCGAACAACAUAUCAUGUCCUUCUAAGCAUUGACUUAAGGUUUUUACAGAAACAACACAAAACAUUCUUCAAGACAAGCACAACAAUUAUCAACGAAGAGUAGCUUUCCGAUUAUAAGUAGAAACAAUUUAACCUCAAGCAUAGACUCGUGAUGGUGAUCAACUCGCAUGCAAACGUUUAAGGUACAUAGAAUCAUAUACAACUAUCCAAAACUCAUCAACCAUGUGUGUCUCACAAUAUAGUACCCAUAAUCACUCACAAGUAUAGCAUAUUUUUCAAACAUGGGCAGCAAAGUAUCCUUGCGCUCACUCUCACAAAGAAUUCAUAUGUAGCAGCUAAUGACCAUAGGCUUGCCCUUAAUGUAGUACUCCACUAAAUGUCGGAAUGUUAAGGUUAGGAUCAAGUAGGUCUUUUGAUGGUUGUAAUGUAGGCUAAGGGACGGGUAGGAUCAACUAUUUUGGCCAGAAAUAGUGACUAAGUUCCUAAGCACUUUAAUACAUCACAUUGUAUUAUUGACACUUUUUUGUAGCACCCUUGUUCUCCUCUUUUGUUUUUCAAUUUUAAAGCACAACUCACUUUUCAGCUUUCUUUUCCUUUUUCUUCUCACAACAUACCUCUUAUGAUAGCACUUUCUUUUUCAUAACAUAUUCAAGCACCAUUACAAUUUAAAGCAUCAUACUCAACCAAUUUCCUCUUAUGUUGUCACAUGACUUUUUCACUUUAAAGCACUUAGGAAUUUGGAUCAAAUUACGGUCUUGAAAAAAAAAUGAAUUAGGCUUACAUACAAGGUUGUCAAAGAAAUAGGCUAAAGGCUCAAAAGGGUUUAACUAGGAUGAUGUCCAUGGGUAGGUAAAACUGAAGGUAAACAAAUAUAGGUUGCCAAAGAAAUGCCUAAAUCAUAUCCUAAACUUACACUCCUUAUUUUCGCUUUGCAUACAUACCAGGCAAGUUCUAGCAUCAGCCACAUACAUAGAAUAUACUAUUAUCUCACACACACAAGGCACAUGGUCGACUUGAUUGGUAGCAAUAUAGACUCUCAACCCAACAAGUGAAGGAAUUGAAUCACACACUAUCACAUAAUGAGUCACAACUAGAGCCUAAAUGUCUCAAUAGUCACAAUUGUAAUACAUACUAUUGUUAUAAUCUCAUGCUGCCUAUUAAAAUAAUUUCAUGCGAGGCUAGAAAAAUUUUAACUACUAAAAACUAAAAAAAAAACGUCACACGAAAAAAAUCACAAAAAAAAAUCGGACUCAAAACAAAAUAAAUAAAACAAAAUAAACAAGCAAACAUACAAAUAUAGCAUGCAGAUUCUGCCGACACCCCACACUUAGACUAGACACUGCCCUCAGUGGAAAAUAAAGUCGAAGAACCUGAUUAGUCGGACUCUUCCUCAAUGUCAUACCCCCUUCGUUCGAGUCAUCGUAAGAGUCAUCGUCAGAGUUCUCCUCAGCAUCAGAAUCAGGCAAGCGUCUAUCAUCAUCAGUUGGCACGUCAUCAUCAAGAGGUUCCUCGAAAUAUACUCCCACUCCACACAUCUCCCGGGCAUGUCUGUUCAUUGGGUAGUCGUGGUCCAGCUGUUGGAGCUCUUCAGCAGUUGGAAUACGUCCACCACUCAUCAUAGUGAAUCUCGUCAUGCCAUAGAGAUGACGGAAGAAACUCUCGUCACGAGCAUGUCUCUCCGCAGUGGUAAGGUUGACUCCAUGCGUUGUUUCAGCAUCUUUGACCUUGGUGAGGUCAACCUUCUUUGGGGUAUGUGGGAGUUUGUGGUCAGCUGGUUCCUCCUCUAUAUCCUCCUUCCGCAACAUUGCUGUCAACAAAUUGCCGAAUGUGAAAUAGGACCAUUCACAUUCACAUCAGUCUGGCUUUCCUCAUGGUGGAUCGAAUGAUUGCCCCAAAGUUGAUAGGGACAUUCGUCAUUAAUGAAUAAACCAGGCACACUCUAUCUCUCGAUAUCUUUGUGUAUUGCGUCCCAGGAAUGAGGCAUGAGUUGACAAUGCGCAUCCAGAUUCUUGCUUCCCUAUUUAGUGGAGCAUAGGGGAAUGUGUUGUGACGGCCUGUUUCCUUAUGUCUGCCCCAUCUCGCCAUCGAUCUGCUUCCACAAAGCGUGUGUCUUAUAGCUCUGUAAGGAGGUCUGCUGUACAGCUCUUUGUAUGGUGCAGUGUCGACCGAAGGUAGGCCUAGAAACGAGUUGAUCCAAUCCGCUGUAAGCUGUAACACUUGGCCCCGAAUUUUGACUUCGUUGCCUGUUGUGUUUGGCGACCAGUUGGCAUAAAACUCUCUUGUCAAGUCAAGAUUGCACUCUCCCAUGUCACGGAAGAUGAAAUCCAGCUUCAAAGCCAUAAUCUUAGCCAACAUUUGCGGCUCCUUCUUUGCUAAGGUCUCCUUAUUGAUUAAGUCGACGUGCACAUAUUUCUUUUCUUUGUUGCUGCUGUACCAUGCCUUGGCUUCUUCCUCAAGAACCCAUUUGAUUCCGAACAUUCUGCGUGGUAGGUGUGCGGAAGAUGAUUCGCCUUGGUCUUUUCGGCUUCUCUUUUUGUCCUUGCGGGUUGUGGUAGCCUUCUCCUUGCCUUGCCUUGCUUUCGGUGCCAUUGUACCGCCUUUACCAUACAACGCGACCAAAUCGUCAAUUGAAAUCAAUCUCCUCGUUGCAUACUUCUUACACCUAUAUUUGCUCAAACAAAUGAAAACGAUUAGUACGAUGGGUUGCCUCCCACCAAGCGCCUUAGUUUUGGUCGUGGCACGACUCUUAUUUUUGGAUUUUCAUUUAUCAAAAAGAAAAAAUACUAAAACGACAAAACGAUAAAACAAUAAAACGAAGGGUUGCCUCCCAUCUAGCGCCUUAUUUAUUGUCGUGGCUCGACGUAGUAAUCUCGAGUACUUAGACUUCGUCGAGAUAAGUGAUGGCCAUGUCAUUUAUCGAGUCAAGAGGACCGAUAUAUGGCUUAACACGUUGGCCAUUCACCUUGAAGAUAACACCCUCAUUAUUUUCCAAUUCGACUACUCCAAACGAGUAGACGUGGGUGACUUUAAAUGGACCAGACCACUUUGAUUUUAACUUACCUGGGAAGAGCUUGAAUCUGGAGUUAAAGAGUAGCACCAUGUCACCUUUUUGGAAGUGUCGUCGAACAAUCCGCUGAUCGUGAUACUUCUUCAUCCGCUCCUUGUAUAAAUCUGAUCUUUCAUAAGCAUGGAGACGGAAUUCAUCUAGCUCGUUCAGCUGCUCCAACCUCAGGUUCUUCACAUCAUCCCAAUUCAGAUUCAAGUGCUUCAAUGCCCAUAAUGCCUUGUAUUCAAGCUCGAUGGGUAGAUGACAAGCCUUCCCAUAAACUAGCUGAUAAGGUGACAUGCCAAUGGGUGUCUUGAAUGCAGUCCUAUACGCCCAUAGUGCAUCAUCUAGCUUCCGAGACCAAUCCUUCCGAUUCGCAUUGACCGUCUUGGCAAGGAUUUGCUUGAUCUCCCGAUUGGAAACCUCUACUUGUCCACUAGUUUGGGGAUGAUAAGGCGUAGCUACCUUGUGUUGCUUGACUCCAUACUUGGCCAAUACAGAUUUGAAUAGCUUGUUGCAGAAGUGAGAUCCUCCAUCACUUAUGAUAGUACGAGGUACCCCAAAGCGAGAGAAGAUAUUCUUCUUUAAAAACGCUACAACACGCUUUCCUUCAUUAUCGGCCAAUGCUACAGCUUCAACCCAUUUCGACACAUAAUCCACAGCAACCAAGAUGUACUUCAUUCCAAACGAAUUUACGAAUGGUCCCAUGAAAUCAAUACCCCAUACAUCAAAGAGUUCUACCUCCAGGAUUGUGGACAUGGGCAUUUCAUGGUGUUUUGAAAUAACACCUUGACGUUGGCAUUGGUCACACCUUCUCACAUAGUCGUGUGCAUCUCUGAAUAUUGUAGGCCAAUAAUAACCACUUUGCAAGACUUUUCUUGCUGUUCGAUUACCCGCAUGAUGUCCUCCAACUUGCGAAGUGUGGCAUGCUUCUAAUAUAGUGGGCACUUCGUCAUGGGAUAUACAUCGUCGAAUGAUACCAUCCGCACAUCUUCGAAACAAAUAAGGCUCAUCCCAAUAAUAGUGCUGAACGUCAUGCAUAAACUUCCUCCUCUGGUGGUAAGAUAAAUUUGUAGGUAACACAUUACUCACCACGAAAUUCGCAAAGUCGGCAUACCAUGGUAAGUCUUCUAUUGUUGUCGCUAAUAUCUCCUCGUCAGGGAAUGCAUCGCCAAUCUGAUUUUCUGAUUGCGCCACAUACUCAUUCUCAAGUCUAGAUAGGUGAUCAGCCACUUGGUUCUCGCAACCUCUUCUAUCUUUGACUUCGAAAUCAAACUCUUGCAGCAGCAACACCCAUCGAAUCAGCCUUGGUUUUGCAUCCUUCUUUGUCAUUAGAUACCUAAGAGCUGCAUGGUCUGUAUGAACGAUCACUUUAGUACCUAAUAGGUAGGCGCGGAACUUCUCAAACGCAUACACAACCGCUAAUAGCUCUUGUUCAGUGACGGUGUAGUUCCUUUGGGCUUCAUUGAGGACCUUACUCGCAUAGUAGAUAGGAUGAAAUAAUUUCUCCUUUCUCUGUCCAAGAACAGCACCAACGGCUACACCACUAGCAUCACACAUGACUUCGAACGGGAGCGUCCAAUCUGGUGUUACCAUGAUAGGGGCUUCAACGAGUUUUUCUUUAAGGCAUUCAAAUGCCUUUAAGCAAUCAUCAUUAAAGUCAAACUUCGCAUCUUUCUCCAAUAGCUUGCAUAAUGGACUAGAAAUUUUGGAGAAGUCUUUGAUGAAUCUACGAUAAAACCCAGCAUGGCCAAGAAAACUACGAACUCCCUUCACCGAAAUUGGAGGUGGUAGCUUCUCAAUUACCUCUAUUUUGGCGCGAUCAACCUCUAUUCCUUUUUCGGAGAUCUUGUGCCCAAGAACAAUUCCUUCUUUUACCAUGAAGUGGCACUUCUCCCAAUUCAGCACAAGGUUGAACUCUACACAUCUUUGUAAUGCCAUGCUUAAAUUCACCAAACAUGCUUCGAAAGACUCCCCAACAACUGAAAAGUCGUCCAUAAAUACCUCCAAAGUGUCUUCUACCAUAUCAGAGAAAAUAGACAUCAUACAUCGCUGAAAGGUGGCUGGUGCAUUACAUAACCCGAAUGGCAUACGUUUGAAGGCAAACGUACCAUAUGGGCAUGUAAACGUUGUCUUCUCUUGGUCUUCUGGUGCAAUAAAAAUCUGAUUAUAACCUGAAUAACCAUCAAGAAAGCAAAACCAUCCUUUUCCCGCUAAUCGAUCUAGCAUUUGGUCCAUAAAUGGCAUGGGGAAGUGAUCCUUGAGAGUCCAAGAAUUCAGCUUGCGGUAGUCCAUGCAUACUCUCCAUCCAGUGACGGGCCUGAGUGGAAUAAGCUCAUUCUUUGCAUUCGCAACCACCGUCAUACCUCCUUUCUUGGGAACACAUUGUACUGGGCUUACCCAUGUACUAUCAGAAAUAGGAUACACAACUCCUGCGUCUAACCACUUGAUAAUCUCCUUCUUCACCACCUCUUGCAUUGGUGGGUUUAGACGUCUUUGGUGUUCGAUGGUGGGUGUGCACUUUUCUUGGAGCUGAAUUUUAUGAGUGCAAAUUCCAGGUGGAAUACCAAGGAUAUCCGCAAUGGUCCAUCCAAUAGCUCUAAUAUACUUGCGUAAAAUUGCAAUAAGAGCUGCAACUUGUUGCUCACCUAAAUCGGCUGCCACUAUGACUGGAAGAGUGUUUCCGCUUCCUAAGAAUGCAUACUUCAAAUGGCUUGGCAGCUCCUUUAAUUCUAAUGUGGGUGGUUCUUCAAUAGAUGGCUUAGCUGGUGGUGUGGGUCGAUUCUUGAGAUCAAGAUCCAGCUUCUUAGGAGGAUAGCGAUAUGCUCCUAAUCCCGAUAGAGCACAAAUAUCAUCUUCAGAAAUUUCAGCAUCAUCAUCAUCUUCUUCCAUGAGCAAAACCUCCAAAGGAUCAUCAAGAAUUUGUUCUUCAGCAAGUAACUCAUCCUCGUCAUCAACGACAACAUCAGUCACAGAAAAUACACUUAGAUCUUUGGGUUGCUUCAUUGAUUUGCAAACAUCAAAGCGCACCACUUCAUCAUUUAUUCGGAAUGAAAGUUCAUUAGCUCUCAAAUCUAUGAGCACACUUCCCGUAGCAAGGAAAGGGCGUCCCAAGAUUAUGGGAACCUCUGAAUCUGCUUCGCAAUCCAAGAUGACAAAGUCUGCUGGAAAUAUGAAUGAAGAUACCUUCACCAAGACAUCGCAUAGAAUACCAACCGGUCGUUUUACCGACCUAUCCGCCAUAACAAGCUUCAUAUUAGUUGGUGUAGGAUCUCCCAACCCCAACUUCUUGUAGAUUGAUAAUGGCAUCAAGUUGAUGCUGGCUCCUAAGUCACAUAAUGCUUUAGCAAAGUCCAAAGAUCCGACGGUGCAAGGAAUAGUGAAAGCUCCGGGGUCGGCCUUCUUCUGAACUAUGGAUCGGGUAGCUAUUGCACUACAAUGAUGCACAUCUUCUUUCAGCUCAUAGCUUGCUGCCCUCUUCUUAGUCAAAAGAUCUUUCAUAAACUUCGCAUACCCAGGCAUUUGUUCAAGUGCCUCUACCAAUGGGACAUUAAUAGUCAGCUGCUUCAAGAUGGUCAUGAACUUGCUGAACUUAGUGUCAUCGGCCGCCUUCUUCAGUCUUUGUGGAAAAGGUGGUGGUGGGUAUGGAAGUGUUCUUUCCAUGGCUUUCUUCUCCUCUUGCUUCCGUUUAUUACUUUUUUCAGGCUGCACGUCACUAGGCAACACGUCCUUGACGUUGGAAGUGGAUAUUGCGGCGUCUUCCCUAGUGGCGUCACUAGGUGUGGCGGUUGUGUCUGCUGUUCUGUCAACUAUUUGCUUGCCUUCUGCUGAAGUUUCCAGCACCUUACCACUCCUCGUAGUGAUGGCCAUGCAUGACCCAUCAGUCCUUGGAUUUUGCACCGUAUCGCUAGGCAAGGUGCCGGCUUUUCUUUGGUUGAGUGUUGCUGAAAGUUGACUGAAUUGCUGCUCUAGUUGCUUGAUAGAAGUGGAAUGAGAAUCAACUAAUUGCUUCAUGGAGGCCAAAUCGUCAAUCACCUCCUUAACUCCCGCAUUCGUCGCUUCCACUCCUUUCAAUAACUUAGCCAUCAUGUCUUCCAUAGAAUUAGAUGUGGUGGUAUCACGUCUACCAGGGGGAACGUACAAACCACUGUUUUCAUUAUUUUUCUUCCAACUACCUUGGUCUUUACCUCCAGAUUUGUCAUAAUAGUUCCGACCUUGGUUUCCUUGGGCAUUCCCACGGAAACCCCCCUGAUUGUUCAAGUAGUUGGCCUCCUCUUCUGAAUCAGAUUCGUCUCUUCCUUUUGACGCAAUAGAUUUCACUUUUUCAGUCUUCCCUAAUAGAUGCUUUGUAAGAAGAUCCAUUUGGGUUUUCAUGUGCGCCAUAUCUUGAUCACGUUCUUCUUCUCUCCUUCUUUGAUCUGCAGACAUGCCAAUAGAUAAAGUGGGGCUUGCUACCUCAGAAUCCCUGGUAUGCCAAGCUCUACUUUGUUUCGUCAUACGAUCUAGCAUGUUGCUUGCUUGACCAAAGGUGAGGUCCAUAAAAGAACCUCCAGCUGCGUUGUCCACCACUGGUUUAGUUACUGAAUUCAAGGCUCUAUAUAAGAUCUCCAUGAGGUGAACAUUAGUCAUGUGAUGGUUUGGGCAUCUCGCUAGCUUUGUCUUGAACCUCUCCCAUGUUUCGUGAAGAGCUUCAGAGGGAAGCUGACGAAAGUUGCUGAUUUCAUCUCUCAAUUGAGCCCUCUUGGAUGGCGGAAAGAAUCUUUCUAGGAAAGCGUCUCUCAAUUGCCUCCAAUUUGUAAUAGAAUCAGGAGUCAGCCCAUUCAACCAUAAUGUUGCCUCCCCAGACAGAGACAAUGGAAAUAGACGUAAUCGAAUAGCAUUCUGACCAACUCCAGGAUUGUCAAAAGACUUGCAUGUAGAAAUAAAGUUGAUGAGAUGCAUAUUCGGAUCAUCGCCUGCUAGUCCACCAAAUAAUCCCUUGAGUUGCAAUAACUGAAUCAUGGUGCUAGUGAUGUUGAACUUGGCUCCGGGCGCUAAUGGUGGUGGAAUUAUAGCUCCAGUGGCUCCGGCACCAUCAAGAUCAUCAUCAUCAUCGUCGAAAGCUGGUUGCAAAGGUUGGCGAUCAUAUCUGUACCGAGCUUGUCGACCUCGUCUGUUGGUAGGUGUUGCCAUUUCAGCGCCAUGCCUUGGGUUGAUCAACUCGUCAUCUCCUAAAUCUUCAUCGUCAGGAUUUGUUGCUCGUCCAGGAUUAUCAAUGUUUUGUUGUUGGACUUGAGCAGCGGCAAGAGCAGCUAAUCUUGCUUGCUCAUGUUGAGCAGCCAUCCUGUCGAUUUCCGCUUGUGCUUCCAUUCUUCUGAUUCGUUGUGGUUCCGGAUUGAUUGGUAAUAACGGUUGACCAGAACUUCUAGUAUGGGGCAUGCACUAAAAGAAAAACCUGCAAUAAACAAAAACAAAAACUAAACGUAAAAGUACGAGAAUCUUUGACCAAAGGGUCUAGUAAUUUUCACGAACUUGAUUGACACUCGUAUUCCCCGGCAACGGCGCCAAUUUUUGAUAACGCUCAAUCUACAGCUCUCGUGGGAGUGUAAAGCGGUCGUUAGCAAAUAUAGAACCCAACCUGGGUUGGGUAUCGAUCCCACAGAGAAUAGCUUGGCCAACAAGCAAGAAAAAUUACUAGACUUUUAGUGCAAGUCUCGUAGGAAAGGGGGGAUUGUAGUAUGUAACCAAAACAAGAAUGUAAGAACUGAAAAUAGCAAAAUAAAGAGAGAUUGUCACGUGUGUUGUAAACAAUGAGAAUUGAGGCGUUGGGGUUAUGUCCACCUUCUGAGGUAUACGUCUCUAUUGGCUAUGAGUGUGUAGAGUCUUGACAUGUAAUUGCUUAUAGAGAAUUGUAGUCGAUGGUAAAUCCAAGCGUCUCUCGACCUAAACAAGGACUAUUUCACUUUAACUCUCUCGAGCUUAAAGCGUGACUAACGGUACGAAUUCUCCAAGAAGUUAGUCCAGGUACGGCACUAGCUUUUUAAUAGGAAAGGGUGUCCUACUACCUUGACAUUAUCUCUUUUCCAGACAAAUAACUUUUCUCUCGAACAAGUCAGAUGUUAGACUGGCGUUGGUCUAUGCGUCUUCUUUUCUAGACAAAUAACCUUUCUCUCGAACAGGUUAGAUGUUAGAAUGGCGUGUUCUUGUGUUUGAACCGCAAAGAAUGUAGAUUUAAGAUGAAGAGAAUAAUGAUAUAAGCAAUAUACUUGUCUUGAACUCACAAACUCAUAGCUAUAGAUAGUAACUCAUUCGGCUUCCAUAACCCCAACUAAGAGAUUUAGUUACCCAUGAAUGCGAAGGAUAUCACGUUUUGCAUGGUGGAUGGCGUGAAUAGUAGGUGUUUGGCGUGUGGUUUUAGUGAUUCCGUAGCAAGUAACAAUUCUCUUGUUGUGGAAUUUAAGAGUAGAAGAAUGAAGAAUUGAGAAUGGGUUGUAGGAAGAUGUCUUAAUUGUAAGGAGAUGAAUGAAUUGUCAGAAUGUCUCCCUUCUUGAAAAUCUCUAACAUGAUAGGGUAUUUAUAAUACUCCUAUCCUACUCCUACUAAACUAAUAAAAUAAAUAACCAAAUCCUAAUAUACUAAUGAAAUCCUUGACCCAAUUGUACUAGGGUAAGGUUACAAAAUUAUAAUCCAAAUAGAAUGAUGAAACACAUAACCUAAUUGCACUAGGUUAAUGUAUUAUGGCAAAAAUCCAGCUUUGUGUCUGUAAGUCCCAAAGUCUUCAGAAAUGCUGUUUUAGCCCGGGACAGAUUUUCCAUGCAGCAGAUUUAGUCCUUUAUGCGUCCAGCUCCUUUCCAUCUCGUUUGUGAGCUUUCUUUUGCGUCAAGUAAGCCAUAAAUUGCUGUAUUUUGCAUCAUUUAUACCUGAAACUUUCCUAAUCACAUUUGUUAGCUCAUUUACAGGAAAAAGGACUAAAAGUGUACGAAAUAGAUAAUUAGUUCUCGAAACUAGGCUAAAAUAUGGGCAAAAUAUAUUGAUAUAGGCGCGUAAUUUCGCCUAUCAUCAACACCCCACACUUAGAGCUUUGUUCGUCCUCGAACAACAUAUCAUGUCCUUCUAAGCAUUGACUUAAGGUUUUUACAGAAACAACACAAAACAUUCUUCAAGACAAGCACAACAAUUAUCAACGAAGAGUAGCUUUCCGAUUAUAAGUAGAAACAAUUUAACCUCAAGCAUAGACUCGUGAUGGUGAUCAACUCGCAUGCAAACGUUUAAGGUACAUAGAAUCAUAUACAACUAUCCAAAACUCAUCAACCAUGUGUGUCUCACAAUAUAGUACCCAUAAUCACUCACAAGUAUAGCAUAUUUUUCAAACAUGGGCAGCAAAGUAUCCUUGCGCUCACUCUCACAAAGAAUUCAUAUGUAGCAGCUAAUGACCAUAGGCUUGCCCUUAAUGUAGUACUCCACUAAAUGUCGGAAUGUUAAGGUUAGGAUCAAGUAGGUCUUUUGAUGGUUGUAAUGUAGGCUAAGGGACGGGUAGGAUCAACUAUUUUGGCCAGAAAUAGUGACUAAGUUCCUAAGCACUUUAAUACAUCACAUUGUAUUAUUGACACUUUUUUGUAGCACCCUUGUUCUCCUCUUUUGUUUUUCAAUUUUAAAGCACAACUCACUUUUCAGCUUUCUUUUCCUUUUUCUUCUCACAACAUACCUCUUAUGAUAGCACUUUCUUUUUCAUAACAUAUUCAAGCACCAUUACAAUUUAAAGCAUCAUACUCAACCAAUUUCCUCUUAUGUUGUCACAUGACUUUUUCACUUUAAAGCACUUAGGAAUUUGGAUCAAAUUACGGUCUUGAAAAAAAAAUGAAUUACGUGACACCAACUUGUCACUUUACGGUGACCUUCUGAUCACAUGACAACAACUUUACCGUGACCUCUUCCUGGUCACGUGAGGACAACUUUACCAUGACCUCCUCCUGGUUAUGUGACAACAACUUUACUUUACCGUGGCCUCCUGGUCACGUGACACCAACUUGUCACUUUACGGUGACCUUCUGAUCACAUGACAACAACUUUACCGUGACCUCUUCCUGGUCACGUGAGGACAACUUUACCAUGACCUCCUCCUGGUUAUGUGACAACAACUUUACUUUACCGUGGCCUCCUGGUCACGUGACACCAACUUGUCAAUUUACGGUGACCUUCUGAUCACAUGACAACAACUUUACCGUGACCUCCUCGUCACGUGACACCAAAUUUAGGAGGUCACAUGACAACAAUUCGGUCAGUGACAACAACUUUACCAGUUACAUCAAGCAAAUAAUCGAAAAAGAAAAUUAUUUUUACCUCCUAGUGGAAUAAAGUCCAACAGCAGGUGCAUAACCAUUGAACUUAGCAGAUUUAACAGCACUAUAGAUUGCAUCUUCAGCAGCUGAAGAAGUUCGAAAACAUGGUAUUGCAGAUGGGUCACCUCUACCCAAAUGAAUUUUUGACCUGUUAUCAUCAUCUUCUUUGAGAUUUUGCAUUAACAUUUCGAGUACUGAUCGAAUUGAGAACAAUGAUUUCUCCUUUAAAUCACCAUUGUUGAAACCCCAUUUGCUCAGUUUUUUCUCCAUUGUUGUUGAGACUUUUCUCGGAGUUAACGGCAAAUCAACAUACAUGCACAGUUAUAUAAAUGAAGAAAAAUAUUAAUCCCUCUGUUACUUUUACUUAUUCCUAUUUUCACUUAUACAUUCAUCAGUGAAAUAGUAAUAAUUAGCAUAGCUAUUUUAUUAAAAAAAAAUGACAUAAAUAUAUCAUUUAACUUAUCAUAUAUACAUAAAUCUUUAUUCUUAAAAAUUAGUUACAAAAAUUCAACGAAUUAUAUGUCUUUGUUGAAUAUAUCGGAAGUCAAUUAUGUAUCUCGUCAGACCCUCCCAAAAAAAUCAAGAGUUAAUUAUGUAUCUUAACAAAGGAAAAAUAUAUCUUUAUUGGAUUGAAUGUAUUUAGUAUCUCGACAGACUUAAAAUCAAUAAAAAUGUAUUGAAAGCAAAUUAUGUAUUUUUCCGGGUGAAUUUCAAAAAUAGAUCCAAAUUUGGUGGCUUUCAAAUUUUAGCUCCAAAUAAAAAAACUUCCUUAAAAUAGCUUUUACCUAUUAAGUAAUACUUUUUUGGACAAAAUUAUCCCUGAUCAAUAGAUUAACAUAUUGGAUAGAAACUCCAUAUUUAUAUCUUUCAACUUUUAUUNNNNNNNNNNNNNNNNNNNNNNNNNNNNNNNNNNNNNNNNNNNNNNNNNNNNNNNNNNNNNNNNNNNNNNNNNNNNNNNNNNNNNNNNNNNNNNNNNNNNNNNNNNNNNNNNNNNNNNNNNNNNNNNNNNNNNNNNNNNNNNNNNNNNNNNNNNNNNNNNNNNNNNNNNNNNNNNNNNNNNNNNNNNNNNNNNNNNNNNNNNNNNNNNNNNNNNNNNNNNNNNNNNNNNNNNNNNNNNNNNNNNNNNNNNNNNNNNNNNNNNNNNNNNNNNNNNNNNNNNNNNNNNNNNNNNNNNNNNNNNNNNNNNNNNNNNNNNNNNNNNNNNNNNNNNNNNNNNNNNNNNNNNNNNNNNNNNNNNNNNNNNNNNNNNNNNNNNNNNNNNNNNNNNNNNNNNNNNNNNNNNNNNNNNNNNNNNNNNNNNNNNNNNNNNNNNNNNNNNNNNNNNNNNNNNNNNNNNNNNNNNNNNNNNNNNNNNNNNNNNNNNNNNNNNNNNNNNNNNNNNNNNNNNNNNNNNNNNNNNNNNNNNNNNNNNNNNNNNNNNNNNNNNNNNNNNNNNNNNNNNNNNNNNNNNNNNNNNNNNNNNNNNNNNNNNNNNNNNNNNNNNNNNNNNNNNNNNNNNNNNNNNNNNNNNNNNNNNNNNNNNNNNNNNNNNNNNNNNNNNNNNNNNNNNNNNNNNNNNNNNNNNNNNNNNNNNNNNNNNNNNNNNNNNNNNNNNNNNNNNNNNNNNNNNNNNNNNNNNNNNNNNNNNNNNNNNNNNNNNNNNNNNNNNNNNNNNNNNNNNNNNNNNNCCCCCCUCUUUUUAAAAUCUCUAACAUGAUAGGGUAUUUAUAAUACUCCUAUCCUACUCCUACUAAACUAAUAAAAUAAAUAACCAAAUCCUAAUAUACUAAUGAAAUCCUUGACCCAAUUGUACUAGGGUAAGGUUACAAAAUUAUAAUCCAAAUAGAAUGAUGAAACACAUAACCUAAUUGCACUAGGUUAAUGUAUUAUGGCAAAAAUCCAGCUUUGUGUCUGUAAGUCCCAAAGUCUUCAGAAAUGCUGUUUUAGCCCGGGACAGAUUUUCCAUGCAGCAGAUUUAGUCCUUUAUGCGUCCAGCUCCUUUCCAUCUCGUUUGUGAGCUUUCUUUUGCGUCAAGUAAGCCAUAAAUUGCUGUAUUUUGCAUCAUUUAUACCUGAAACUUUCCUAAUCACAUUUGUUAGCUCAUUUACAGGAAAAAGGACUAAAAGUGUACGAAAUAGAUAAUUAGUUCUCGAAACUAGGCUAAAAUAUGGGCAAAAUAUAUUGAUAUAGGCGCGUAAUUUCGCCUAUCAUCAAUGUGGAUAAUGAAAAAGGUAAUGUAAAUAAAGGUGUGACAAUGAUGGUUUAGUGUUGCAUUGUGAUAGAUGGUGUUCAUUAAUGAGGCUGGACUACGCUAGUGGUGAAUAUAAUAUCGUUAAUAGAGUUGGAGAAUCGUAAAUUAUACAGGAAAAAUGUUAUGAUGAUAUUACAACCUUAGUUGAAUUAUAUUACAUUUAUUGUCAUAAUUUCUUUUCUUUAAUUCUAUUUUAUGAUUAUGUGAACUAACAUUGGUCAACUGAUGAUGCCUACCAGUAUGUGUGUUUGUACAGACCCUACUCUUCUACAUUCCUUCUUAGAGUGUGGACUGGAUAUAGGUUAGUUUGCAGUUACUCAAUGGAUAGUGGUAUUCAACACUAACUUCUAUACUUUCUUCUUGACAGAUGUUAGAGUCUUUAUUUUAAUUAUUUUACUGUCAGUCUAUUAUGUAAUAGGUAGCUCUUGUACCUGUUUGACCAGGUCUUGGGGUAGUGAAGGACAAUUGUAAGAAGUUUUUUUAAAAAAAUAUUUAUUGAUAUUUAAUUUACUUUAUUAUAUUUAAUUCAGUAUUCUCUAAAAACAGAAGUUUUUCGUAUUUUUUUAGUUGGGUGAUAAGGGUUCUCCUAGCUACGUAGGUGUCCAGUUGGUCCGUUAGUUUGGGUCGUGUCAUAUGCAUGAGUGAUACUAGGAUGUAAUGAUCACAACCAAUCAUUAUGAAAAUCUAAAUCCAUCCAAUACAAGUGAGCUUAAAAUCAACUUAAUGUAUCAAUAAUUCAUACUAGCAGUUUCAAUAAAUAGUCAUGUAGUCAUUAAUAUUAUCAUUUUUAACCCCUCAUUUGAGCACCACUAUAAUGAUAAUGCAAUUAAAUGCUCAGAUUAGACCUACAAUGUUAAGUCAAGCCCGCACUCGGAUGACACAAUAAUAUAUACCACAUUAUAAUACAAAGAUAAGGCCUAUGAUGAUAAGUUAAGCCCCCACUUGGGCGAUUCAAUAAUAUAUAAGGCAUUUAAUACACAAAUAUGAUCAAUAACAUCAAGUCAAGCCCCAACUCAUCCAUCAAAAUAAUAUAUUCUCUCAAAUCAAAAGUAAUAUGUAUAUAAGCUCCCACUCAGACACACAAUCAUAAAUAAUUACUGAAGUCAUAACGAACUUCAUAUAAGCCCCCACACGGGAAACACGAAAUAAAUAAUAAUUUUGAUAAUAAUAAAUUGUGGACUAUUCAAAUCUAGCUUGUUCAAUGUACUAAGAAUCAUCAACUAUUUCAAGUUUAUUCAUACUGUAAGUAUCCUCUGAACCUCAAUCAUUCCAUCAAAUAGCGAUAGCAACAUAAUCAUCCUCUAAAUUUUUUUUAAAACCUUAAUCAUUACGUCAAAGCCACUAAACAUGAUUCAAACUCUAAAUUAGGUAUCCACUAUCAAUAUUAUUCAAGAUCAAUGAGCUAACUAUCUACAAUUUAUUCAAAGUAUAUUCACAAGUAUCAAGACUAACUAAGAUAAGAAACUACAUAACUAUGACCGAUCAAAAGACUUUGAUAUCCUUAGAGAUACUUGUCAUUUUACCUAAGCAGGACCCUCAAUCCUAAGCAUUUUCCAAAAUAUGAACAAGCAAACAUACAACAGAUAAACAUUUUAGAGAAAGUCAAGGUACAUUUCAACUUGCCUUUAAAGAAGAUCCGCAUGCCAAAACACAAUUCAAAGCAUCAGCCAAAAGCUCUACUCCCAUGGAUCAACACUGCCAUAUCCAAUCUAAUCAAAUUUGACAUCUAUAAAUCAAAAAGUGUCCAACGAGCCCAUAUGAACUCUAUUUUAUACGGGUUUAAAAAAGGUUCAAAAAUUGAUUCAAAGAAAAAAAGGAGAAAACUAAUAUUAUAUUUUAGAAAUACGUUCCUCAUGACAUUAGGAACCUACAUUCAAAACCACACAAAAUGAGGUAAAACAUGGUCUAAAUUGAAGAAAACUAUUUUAAAGCUUUAACGCUAAAAACUACAAAAUUAAAUUUAAAAUAAAAAAUUUAAAGAUGAAUUUAUAAUAAAAUCAGUUUCAAAAGUGAUAAAUACAAUACUUAUAAACAUACCCCCAAAAGGAAUUUCGAAAACCCCUUUGAAAAUCCUCAAAUCCGUGCUCUCAAGCUCCAAAAUUGGUGAAAAUUUUGUAAUGGAGUUUUAAAUCUCAAAUUUUGUUAGGAAUCAUGAAAAAUGAUAUGGAUAUUCUUGGAAAAUGAUAAGAGUGAAGGUAAAAUCACAUAGUAAAUGAUUAUUCGAGAAAAAUGCAUUGAGAAUCGUCAAAAAUGGAGCUUUCUAACUCCCAAAAUGUCAAAAAUAUGAAAUGGGAAGAAGUUUGAUAUUUAUAUAUAUUCAAGUACGAUUUUUGUAGCUAAAGUUAGUUUUUCAUAGCUAAAAAAAUUAUUUUUCCGUAGUUAAAGGUGUGCACCAACAACCUUUUUUACCAAUAACUUUUAUUUUCACUAAAAAAAUUCCUCAUACGAUAGAGAAAUGCACCAAUUUUUUCUGUAAUUUUACAAUAAUCAUACAAAUAUAUUUGUUUAGUAGGAACUCAGUUUCAUGCACAUUUUCCUAGUUAAAUAUUAUUUUUACUCAAUAAAGAAUUAUUUCAUGUUUUACAAUAAAAAUUGAAUCUCGAGUUACCGAAAUUACACCAAACUCUCCAUAUCAAUCCUAUAACACAUGCAUAACACUUCAAAAGUUUCAAAAUAAUUUUUUGAUCUUUUAAAGUUAUAAUAAACUUUUUUAUCAAUCGAUUUUAUUUAAAUAGGACCAAAACAUCCAAAAUUUUUAAAAUCUUAUUCUAAACUCAUCUGGAACCUUUUGAACACAAACCAUAUAUGCUAAUAACUUGGAAUCGACAUUGUAGACUCAAUGAAAUUGUCAGAUUUAUAAAAGAAGAUCGUUUAUAAUAAAUUAAACUCCAUAACCCUUUAUAGGCUAUUUUAACUAAUUUUAGAAUGGAGGGUCAAAAUGUAAAAUAAAAGCUUGAAACCCAAAAUAACCAUGCUACAAACCAAAAAUCAAUAUUUCAAAUUUAAUGGAACUGUUAGAUAACUAUCCGAUGCUCAGAUCAUGGCAUAUUGAUCGAAGACAAACUAAUAUCUUUAAUGAUGUCCAAAAUUAAAAGCUCAUAUAAAAUACUUACGAAUCAUCGGGGAUCAUGCAAUCAUUUUUGUAACUUAUAAAUAAGAUAAGACAACUACAGAGAAGGACAAAAUGGUUAAAACAUAGUAAUUUCUAAAUUUUCAUAUGAGGGCCAUUACACUAAGACAUUACGUAGACGUUUGGCCAUGUAAUUUGGAGAUCAAAUUUAAAGUUUUAGUUUAAAAUCAGUGCCUGUCUAUCAAAUAUAAAUCCUACUGAAAGCUAUAAUUUUGAUCUCAAGUUUGUAAUUUCAAUUUUUUUAAAAUUUAAAAUUUGGCCCAUAUAUUAUCUUUUAUGAAAAAGGAUUCAUAAUUUUAAUUUUGGUACAAAAAGACUCAUGCUAGAUGUGAAAAGUGAAAAAAUGUAUGUAUCAUACGAGAUAAUUAUAUUAAAGAUAACUGUAUUUAAAAAAAUAAUGCAUGCAUUAGUAUUAUAUACUAUUAAUACUUCGUUUGAGAUAAUAUUUUUUUUAGCCUAUGUAUAAUUAAUGCAAGCAUUAGUUGUACACCCUAUUGUGUAUUAAUGGAUACAUUACUAAUGCCACCUUUUUCAUGUAUUAGUAAUACAAAGGGUUUCAACACAUGCAUUAACUUGAUUAAUGACUUUAAUACUCCUCAAUUUCCCUCUCAAAAUAUUUCACAAAUUAUUUUUUCACCCUUUUAAUUUGCAAUAGUGAAUCCUCUCAAAACAUUUCACAAUUUUUUUUCCAUUAUUUUAAUUAGCAACAUGUAACUUUACUUUGAUUUGAGGGUCUUUAAAAAGUUAAAUAUUUUUUUGAGACUAUUCCUUGAUUCUACAUUUUGUAUUUUAUUUUUGUUUUGUCUAUAUUAAUCUUGUUGGAUUUUUGUUUAAUUUAAAUUAAUAUUUAUAAGAGGUUUCCUUUUAAUGAAGUGUCUUUUGAUGAAAAGGUAUCUUUUAAUGAAAGGGUGUAUCCGUUCAUUGUAUAGUUUUCACCUAUUCUAAUUAAAUCUAACCUCCUGCUGUUUCAAAGGUAAUUUUGCUGAGAAACCUUUUAUAGAGAAGACUUUACAACGUUCUUUCAAAAAAUCUCUUUCUUCAAAAAAAAAAUUCAAGUUCAAGUUAUUGUUUUUCAAUAGAAUUAUCUUCAUUAUUUACUUGGUGCAGAAAUCCAAAGGCUUGUUAUAUCCACUAAUACUAUUUGCAUAUAAUAUCAUAGUAAUCCCACAGAGGAGAGAGAGAGAAAAUAUCAUUUUUAUAUAAAUGUUUCAUGCAUGUUUCAAGCCUUUUACUCUGUGUUUGUUGUUCAGAUUAUUAAGUCUUCAUCUUUAUGUUCUUCUUCGUAUAUUUUGUAUGUGUCCAUAAAACAUAUUUUCCAACAAUCUAAAAAUGAUAUUUAUGUUAGGAAGAAGAAAUAAUUUUCUUAUCGAUAAAAAGGGAAAAACAGUAAAUUAUGAUGAGGUGGUUGUUCGAGAAUUUGGUUUGAAGGUUUACAGAAGAGUUCUAAAUUUUAUGGUAUAAAAAGAAAAGUUUGAAAUCGGGGGCAGUGCUGGAUAGAAGAAUGCAACAACAGUGAUUUGUUCAGUGAAACAUGGUCAGCAUUGGACAUCUAUAUAUAUUUAGUUGAAAGAAGGACACGGUGCAUUACCAUUUAUACUUUAGGACCGGUGACUAUCGGCAUGGUGACUGUUGUUCUAGACUGUACACGAGACCUAGUAUUAGUCCUACUUCUCUUCUGUCAUUGAUUUAAAGGAAGUCAAAAUAAAAAUAAUUUUUAAUAUUUGGCCCAAUAAUAAAAAUAAUAAUAUUAUCUGAGUACUAAUGAGAGUAGUACAACAAUUUGCUGAAUGAAGAAGUCUUGUGCACUCUGACUAAUACUACAAGGGCUAGUCUUGUACAAGUCCAUAUACAAGUGGAAACCAUCAAGAGGGAUAGACAUCAAUUGGCAUCGGGUGCAUUGGAGAAGUUAAAUAAAAGUCAUUACAGUUUGUGGUUCACACAAAAACAUUCAGAGGAGAUUAAAAGUUGCUUGGAUUAUAAAAAAAAUCUCAAGGUUUCUUUCAGAGAUAAUGACUUUUAUAUUUGAUAUGGAAAAGAGAUCGUCAAAGUACUGAUGGAAUACGAUAAAAUCGGGUUCUACUCUCUUAAUUCUAUUUAUUAUUUAUUUAUAAGUUUCUUAUUUUUAUAACUUUGUCAAUUUAUUUUCAUAAAUGGUAGGGUAGAUGAUAUUUGUGAUUAUCUUCUAUUGCUUAAUAAUUUUAGGAAUAAUAUUUUUUAUGUGAUCAUUGUGGAUCGUUAUUCUUGUAUAAAAAUCAUAUAUGAAAUUUAUUGUCAAGUUGUAGGAUGAUAUGAAAAACGCACAUUAUUUACAAGUAAGUGAGUAUACUUGAAAAUUAUUACAAGUGAAUAUGAGAUCUAGAGAACAUGAGUUAGUUAUUUUAGUUUUCUCUAUAUGUGAUAUGAAAACGUACUUGAUAUGUCUAAAGUGUAGGUAUGUGUGGCAUGUGAUUAGAAGUCAAUAUUAGACUUAAAAUUAUUUAAUAUAUAUUUAAAGAGGAUAAACUAUUUGAGAUAGUCAAUAUGUCUUCACUUUAGAAUUCUUAAUGAAUAUUUUCAUGUGUGUGAUAGAUUGUCGAUGCUGAGCGAAAGAAUCCAUAAGAGAUUUUAUUUACACAUUUUAAAUGAAGGAUCUUGGAGAAAUUAGUACUAUGUUGGGUAUCAAGACUAAAAAAAUAGUGGGGGUAUGUGUUGUUCUCAUUACAUGAAAAAGUGCAAAAUAAAUCUAGUCACUUAAACACAAAAGUGAUCAAUACCCUAUUUGAUCCUAGAUUGAGUCAGUCCAUGAUGAUGAAAGAACCGUGGCUAAUUAACUUAUGUAAACAAGUGCUAUUAAAGGGGCCAGUAGCUAAGUUUUCAUUUUCUUUAGAGAACUAGAGAUUUGAGAAACUCUAAGUUUCAUAAUAUGUUAUAUAGAUAUACCGAUACAAGUUGGUAUCGAAAAUGUGAGAAAAAUAAAUUUAUCACAUAAUGGAUACUUACCUUGUGAGGAGGUGCAAUUUCUUGAAACCAAGAAAAUCUUGCAUUAGUAGAAGCAAGAAAAUUAAAGGAGUUGAGUGAUUGGGGGAUUAUUAAGAGAAUUCAUUGAUUUUGUAAAAUAUGAGCUCAAUUUGUGAUAAUCAAGUCACUCUAGAUCGAGCAUACAAAGAUUAUAUAAUGAAAAAUCAAAACGUAUAAGUUCUUGAUAGGAUUAUGUGAGUUCAAGAUGAAAUAACUUCUAUCACAUUGGUGAAGUCAAAUGAAUUGACUAAUUUAUUUACUAACCUAUUCAAAGAAAGUUGUUGAAUACAUCUUUAAGUACAAUUAUAUAAAAACUCCUUAAUUAGGUCCACCAAUGAUAACAACCCUACCCAACACUAUGAAAUGAAUAGUUAUGGGUUCAAUGGGUAACAACAAAUUAUUGAUAUAUGGAUGUUUCAGUACUUAAGUAAGAGAUGUACUAGUACUAGUUUCCUAAGAUUAGAGGGUUGAAUUCUAAUACUCUUAAUGAGAUUCAGUUCGUGGAACAAGUAUCUCAGAUAUGAUAAAGGCACAUGAAGAUCUUUACCUAUAUAAAUAUAGAAGUGGUACCGCUUUGAUUGGGAGUUGGAGUUGCUCUCAUAAUUUUCAUGAAUCUUGCAUAGUAAAUGUCCAUAAAAGUGCUAAGCAUGUUUGAGUGGAAAGCAUGAAUGAAAUAUUUAUGUGUGUAGUGUUACCGAUGUUAUCACAAGGAAUAACAUGUUCAAAGAUAUUAUUCUAUGUGGAAUUUUGAUUUCAUCUUGUGAUAUUGCACUAAGGUAAUAUUUAAAUCAAAAGAUACAUUACUCUAUGCGUGAAUAUGACUUGAUCUUUUUGUCCUAACUUUUAUUUAAACAAGUGAAGGAUUGUUGGAUUUUUGUUUAAAUUAAAUUAAUAUUUGUAAAAGGUGUCCUUUUAAUAAAGUAUCUUUUGAUGAAAAUGUGUCUUUUAAUGAAAGGAUGUGUUCUUUCAUUGUAUGAUUUCCACCUAUUCUAUUUAAAUCCAACCUUCUCUUGUUCCUAACAUAAUUUUGCCGUGAAACCUUUUACGGAGAAGGAUUUACAAUAUUUUUUCAAAAAAUCUCUUUUCUUCAAAAAAAAAGAUCAAGUUCAAGUUCUUGCUUUCCAAUAGGAUUAUCUUCACUAUUUUCUUGGUGCAGAAAUCCAAAGGAUUGUCAUAUCCAUUAAUACUAUUUGCAUAUAAUCUCAUAGCAGUCUCGCAGAGGAAAGAGAGCAAAUAUCAUUUUUUGAAAAAUAUUUUGUGUGUUUUUCAAGCCUUUUACUCUGUAUUUUUGUUUAGAUUAUUAAGUCUUCAUCUUUAUAUUCUUCUUUGUAUAUUUUAUAUGUGUUCAUGAAACAUAUUUUCCAAUAAAUCUUUUAGGGUUACUAUUAUUUUAGGGGUAUGUGCUUCAAUCAUUUUCUUGGUGCUUUUUCUCGCACUGCCAAAAUGAUGCUAGUCAAGAAAUAAGGCUUCAUGAAUUUUCAAUCUUAAGCCAGAGUGUGACGAAACAUUGCUAACAAUCUAUUUAAUUUCAUUUUGGGGGAAAAUAAGAGAAACUUAAGUUUUAAAGGUAAAAGAACUUUGUUGCAAGCAAAAUGUACAAAAUCAAAGGAGGGUAUUUUUGUAAAUAAAUAUUUUUUUUUGUAGAAAUUAUGCAAGCUAUGUUAUAUCUGUUGGAUUUUUAAGAGGUGUGAAUGAAAAAUGAAUAGGUGCAAUUUAAAUAGGCACCUUAUUGGAUUGAAUGGUUAUGACCUUUCUAAUGGGAUUGUGACUUUUCUGAAGAGUUGCACCUUUUCUGAAGAGGUGCACCUUUAUAUAGGGGUUCACCUUUCUGAACCAUUAUUUUUCCUCAUGAAGCAACACUUUGAUGGCUAUAAAUACCUGAAUUUUUUCUCGGGUAUAGACAUAAAAAUUUACAAGAAAAAAUACUUCUCUUUUUUGCAAGAACUCUAGGGUGAUUUGCUCCCGUUGAGUAUGUUCGUAGGUCGACAGAAUUUGAGGUACCACUAUUCUGUCAAAGUGAUUCAUUUUAUACUGAGAGGAUAUAUUCCAUAACCUCAAGUACUUGAGAGGAAUAAUUUCCCUUAAGGACAUACUGUGAAUUCGGUGGACUUGGAUCUUUUUGUUUCAUCUCUUUUCUUUAAAGUUGGUUUUAUUUUUUUUCAAAAAAUAUUUUAAACUUCAUAUUGAUAGUUCUUCAACUGUUUGAACUUGUGUUUGAAGUUCUUCAAACUUUAUUUUGAUAGUUCAUAAGUUGGUUGAACUUGUGUUGAAGUUCUUAACAUUUGAUUUUGCUAUUUUCCAGAAAAUAAUUUGAACUUUAGUUUGUUAAUGUUCAUAACUUGGGUUGAAUUUAUUGUUAAAAGUGUACAGUUGUAAAUAUAGACUUUAAACUUCAUUAGAUUAUUCAUAUGAUUAUUUGAACAUGUGUUUAAAGUUUUUGUUGAAAAAUACAGAUUUUACUAAAUCCGAAAAAAACAACAAUCUUAAGGAAAUUAGAAUUUUUUUUGUGCUUGAUUGGUGAAAAGAAAAAAAAUAUAUAACCAUUUAUAAAUCAAGUACUUGGUUAAUUUGUAUCGGAUCUGAUUUUUUGGAGACUAAAAUCUUUUAAUUUCUACUCCCUCGGUUAGAAGAAUAUGAAAACUUCAUCAAGAAAUCAAUGUUGGAAUUCGGUUCGAAGAAUGUAAAAACUUCACCGAUAUAUUAAAAAUUUUGAAUUGAUUUUUGGAGUUUAAAACCUAUGGGAUUUCACUCUGAUUGAAUUUGAUUAUGACUUAAAGUCAAAAGAACUUCAUCAGAUUUCAAAGUUCAUUCAGUUGAUGAUUUGAAGAUAUAAAAACUUCAUCAUUUACUAGAAAUAAGUUGGUUAAAGAUUAAAGUCUUUACUAUCAGUAUUCUGAAAUAUAAAGUGUAUGUCAAAGAUUUGACAGGAAAAUGAUGGAUGAAACUGAUCAACAAGUUUAUUCGGUUGUGAAUGGUGCUUUACUAAUGACAAUCAAUAUUGUGUCAUUAAGUCAUUCAGAUAUUGCUAUAGCAAUGAAAACGACAGAGAAACCAGAAAAUUAUUUUGGUGCGAACUUCAAAUAUGGUAGCAAAUGAUGUCAUUUUGGUUGACCAAACUUGAAAUGCAAAUGUUCACAAGUGUAGAUCCUUAUAUUGUAAGAAAAAAAUAAUAAUUAAAAAUUAAUUAUUUGGUUUGAAAGAUCUUGUGAGUCAUCUCAAGAUAGAAGAGGAUAAUGAGUUGAAUGAGAAAUCACCAAUAAUUUUUGCAAAUCAUGUUAAAAUGGUGCUCUAAAUAAUAAGAAGAUGAAGAAGUCUUCUGGAUAAGAGAUAGAGCAGAACAAGAAAAUGUUCAAAGGUAAGUGCUACAACUGUAGUGAUGUUGGCCACAAAUCUCUAAAUAGUCAAGUUCUAAAUAAGAACAAGAAAAAAAGAUCAUAUAAGCAUAUUGGAAACAACAGAAAAGAUUGAAAAUUUAUGUGCUAAUCACUGAGAGAAAUCUAGUUGGAUAUCCAAAUGAAUGGUGGUUUGAUUCAUAAUCCACUAGACAUGUUUGUGCAUAUAAAAAAAUUUUUGCUACUUAUGAUACCGUUGGUCCUAAAGAAGUGAUCUUAAUGGGAAAUAAUGCAAUAACCAAGGUUGAAGAAAGUGGGAAGAUAUUCCUAAAAAUAACUUCUGGAAGAUGUUGAUUCUCAACAAUGUUCUCCAUCUUCCUACUAUUAGGAAGAACUUAGUUUCGACAACACUUCUCGUUAAAAUUGAGUUUAAACGUGUGCUUGUUUGGACAAAUUUGUAAUAAGCUUGAAUGAAACAUAUGUAGGAAAGGGCUUCCUCAAUGAGGGCCUUUUCAAACUUGAUGUAAUGGUUGUUGAAAUAAAGAAAGCUGAGACUUCUUCUUACUUGCUUGAGUCAAAUAAAUUAUGGCAUGAACAUUUUGGAUAUGCAAAUUACAAAACUUUGCGAAAAUUGAUUAACUUAGAAGUUUUGCCUAACUUUGAGUGCAAUAAAUCAAAGUGUCAAAUAUGUGUAGAAUCAAAGUAUGCGAAGCAUCUGUAUAAGUUUGUUGAAAGGAAUUUCAAUCCCUUAGACUUAAUCCAUAUAAACAUUUGUGAUAUGAAGUCAACACCAUCUCGUGGUGGAUAAAGUAUUUUAUAAUUUUUAUUGACGAUUGCACUAGAUAUUGUUAUGUUUAUUUGCUAAAUGGUAAGGAUGAACCAUUAGAUACAUUUAGACAAUACAAAAUAGAAGUUGAAAAUCAAUUGAGUAAAAAGAUCAAAAUAUUAAGAAGUGAUAGGGGUGGAAAAUAUGAAUCUCCUUUUGUGGAGAUAUGUAUAGAAAAUGGAAUCGUGCAUCAAACUACUUCCCCAUAUUCACCUCAAUCAAAUGGGAUUAUGGAAAGAAGAACCAAAUAUUAAAGUAAAUAAUGAAUGCCUUGCUCAUAAGUUCAAGUUUACCACAAAACUUGUAGGAGGAACCUAUCCUUACAGCUAACUGAAUACUCAAUAGAGUGACCCAUAGUAAGACUUUAAAUUCCAUAUGAAAAAUAGAAAGAAAGGAAACCCAAGUUGAAUAUUUCAAAGUGUGGGGUGUCUAGCAAAAGUCCAAGUUCCUAUGCUUAAAAGGGUAAAAAUAAGACCUAAGACUGUGGAUGAAAAGCUCAUUGGAUAUGCUAAAAAUAGUAAAGCAAGUCAAUUUUUGGUUUAUAAAUUCAAACAACCAGAUAUCAAUGAAAAUACGAUAAUUGAAUUAGAUAAUGUUGAGCUUUUUGAAUACAUUUAUCCUUAUAAACUAGACAUGAGUAGUCUAGUGGAGGGUCUAAACGACCUCGAGAUGAACCAAAUAAGAAUGUACUUAAUGAUAAAAAUCUAGGGUGUAGUACACGUCAAAGAAUGUCAAUGUCCUUUGGAUCAGAUUUUAUAAUAUUUAUUCUUCAAAAUGAGCCUCAAACAUUUAAAAAAGUGAUGUCAUAUUCAGACGCUUCCUUUUAGAAAGAGGCAGUCAAUAGUGAGAUUGAUUCAAUCUUAAGUAACCAUACUUGUGAGUUGGUUGAUCUUCCUUCAAGAAAUAAACCUUUAGAUUCUAAAUGGAUCUUUUAAAGAAAAAUAAACGUUUAUGGUACUAUUGAAAAAUACAAGGAAAGACUUGUAAUGAAAGGCUUUAGACAAAAAUAAGGCCUUGAUUUUUAAUUCAUACUCACCCGUAACAAAGAUAAUGCCUAUGGUCGUCAAAUCCAUCAGAUGAAUGUGAAAAUAAAAUUCCUAAAUAGAGUAUUGGAGAAAGAAAUUUACAUAGAACAACCCAAGAGUUUUGUGGUUCCUGGUAAAGAAAAUAAGUGUAUAAACUUGUUGAGUCACUUUAUGGACUAAAAAGCAUCCAAACAGUGGCAUACA
rnacentral:lncRNA from 1 species